UUUGAAGUACACACAAAACUCAAAAACAAGAAAAUUAUCCAUCUAGCUGGAUAUGAUUAUGCAUAAUGAACAGAGGAAACAGCUUAAGAGAAAAACUGGUCCAUUAGAUCCCCUCUUUCAAUCGCAAUCUUCUAUUUCUGCACAGCAAAGAAACACUUCUCAAAUAUAUUUUACGAAAGAUUUAACAGGUAAAAGUGUACAAGCUCAAAAGAUGAUGCAAUUAAUCUUGAGUCAGUUACCUGUUAAACCAGUGUUGCCGUUUUUUAUAUGCAAGGGGUAAAUAAGGACCUUGGGCUCUGCAUUUCCAUAUCCUUCUUGCACUUCUUUAAAGUCCUUGACUGACUUUUCAAGAGACUCACCACAUCGUUUCACUUCAACUAUCUUUAGAGUACGAAUAUCUCCAACUGGAAUUUCUUGAAGAUUAAAGCAGUUUUCUACCAGAAGCUGUUCGAGGUUAAGCAAGGACUCAUCUGAGGCAUUCCAUGUUGUUAUUGUAAGGGAUCUUAAUUUAAGAACCUUGAGGUUCAGAAACUCUUCAUCUUUGAUCUCCCAUUUUUCCUGCUGAAAUGCUCUAUGUUCCAACUUGAGAACCACUAAAUUUGGUAAUCUUCCGAUAUUAGACAGUUCACUUUGUGGCAACAAAACAUCUGAUAGAGUUAGCUUUGUUAGUGUCGCGGGAAAGGUGAAAUUCAAAAUCUUACCGUUUACACUGAGUGUUUCAAGUUGAAGAGCAUGUAAUUUGAGUUUGAGAGGCUCUUUACAGUGGCAUUUGAGCUUUCGCAGUCUGCUUGCCUUCUUGACCAUGUAGUCUACUAGCUCAUUAGUGAGAGACACUGUGGCCAAGGUCUCUAUGUUUGUCGAUGUCUGAGGAAUGCGUCCAUCAAAAGAUGCAACAGGUUCAACAUGUACAUGCUUUAGCCUUGGCAUAUUCCAGAUGGUCAUCGGUAAAAUUGUGCCACUGCCUACUGUUAUUACAAGCAAUACCUCUAGGUUUGAAAGGUUCGAUAUCCAUAAUGGCAUAGAUACCAUAUAGCCUUUGAUUCCUAAGUACUUCAAAUGGAUCAGCUCUUUUGAUCUCUGGAAUGAACUCUCCGACAUAGUACAUUCCAUUUGUAGUACUCUUAAUAGUUUAAAGUUCUCAAGAUCAAGAAAUUCCUGGCAGCCAGAUUUCGGGGGUCUGAAGAAUGCAGAUCGAACUUGCAUGUUUCCAAUCUUCCCUGCCCAAUAAAGGCUAUGAUGAAUGCAAAGCCUCCGGUGCUCAUAAAAGGAACUAGACAAAUCAGUCUUCCCGGUGCUUGUUAGUUGCAUAAACUUCUCUUCCUUAGACUUUGUCAUGCAAAAAUCAUGUAACAUAUCAUGAAUGUGGCAUGUUCUGACUCCUCCAGUGGACUUUCUCUUGCUCACCAUUAUCAAGCUUCUACCGAUGAGAUCAUUCAGUAAAAUUUUUGCAUCGAGCCCUAUGUUUGGCACCAAUCCCUCGAUAGUCCAUAACCAUGCCAAGUUUGAGAGUGGAAUUUCUUCAUCCUCCUGAAAUGAUGCAAAAUAUAGAAGGCAGGGUUUGAGAUGAUCUGGCAUGUGCUUGUAGCUCAGUUCUAUAACCUCCAUGCACUCUUUUGCACUAGUAACAGUAUCUAACUUUAUACUCUCUGCGACUCUUCUCCAACUUCCCUCAUUUUUGCUUAUCCCAGACAAAACUCCAGCAACCAAAAUCACAAGGAGAGGUAGUCCUUUACACUUACUUGCGAUGUUUUCUCCUACUUUUGAUAGGUCUGGUGGGCAAGUUUGUUCCUUGAACAGCUUGAUUUUCAUUAGUUCCCAACUUUCAUUUUUGUCAAGAAAACGAAGUUCAAGAAGUACUCUUUCAAAUUUAAUGUUGGAAGCCACAUUAAUGUUUCGGCUGGUUAAUAAAAUCCUGCUUCCGUUUUUAUUAUCCGGUAAGCAUCUGCUCAAGUAUUCCCAUGUGUCAACACUCCAUAUGUCAUCAAUGUAGAGAAGGUACUUCUUUCUUAACAGAAAUUUCCGCAAAGCAUCUGCUGGAUUUUUCUCAUUCUGUUGGUUAGAACAUUUGACUUGAUUUAAAAUUCCGAGCAGCAACUUUCUUUUGUCGUAAGUUUGGGAAACACGACACAUAGCUUGGAUGUCAAAAUAAAGCCGCAUUUUCUCAUCAUGAAAAACUUUCUUUGCUAGUGUAGUCUUUCCAAGACCAGGCAUCCCUACAAUAGACACAACAACUAGGCACUUUGGUCCUGUAGUGAGCUGUUCGAUUAGCAAGUCAGCCUCGUUCUUAAAACCCACCAUUACCUCAUCAGGUAGUGUAGUCUCAACUACUUGUCUGACAGGAUUUGGUGCUUGUUCUUCGAUUGGGACUUCAACUUCUUGCGUAAUCGUAGCAUGGAACUCUUUCAAAUGAUCCCUUACAACCUUAGUUUCUGUUGUGAUCUUACAUAACAAAUGUAGAUACCAAACAGGAUAAUCUCCGGUAACCAGGCAAUCAAUUAUGCAUUCUGCCUGGUAUGCUAGAGAUAUGACUUCUGUCCAUAGAUCAUGUUUCUUCACCUCCUCAAACUCAUGUUUUUUCUUCUCAACUUCCUUCAAGAAGUAUCUUAAGAGAUAUAACUCUUCCUGAGCUUCUUCAAUAAGAUGCUUGACAACAGAAUCACACUUUCCGUCUUGCAGCAGCUCUUUCAGAUAGCGUAAGAGAUAAUCGAUAAACCCCAAUCCAUUUGUCCUAGGAAAAUUACAUUUUGAUGACACUACAUCUUUCAGAAUCACAUCUUUUAGAUCUUCCAUGACAUGUUCAAUCUUUUUUAACAAGUCACUGAAUACCGAGUUAACUUCUGCUGCUUUGUCAACGGAGAAAGAGAAAGCAGCAGAUACUACCUCAGCAAUCGAAAGAGAAAGCAACAGAUACUACCUCAGCAAUCAGACCUUCAAUGCAAGUAAGUUUGUCACUCAUUUUUUCCUGUAUAACAUAUAAAUCUUCUGGUGGACAAAUGAGCAAAGUUACCAAUUGCUUUGAUGCUUCGGCAAGGCUUUUGAUUUGAUCCUUUUUAAGAGGAAGCAUCAAAGAACAUGCCUCACCGUCUGAUAACUCCAACAAAUCCUUGAAGAUGAAAUGAACAAAACCUUCAACAAAUUCUAUCACAUCCCGGCUGUAUUGGAUUUGCAAUUUAACUGAACCUCUUAGAGCUCCAGUAUAGAUUUCUGCAACGUCCGGAUCAAUGGGCUUGAUAUAUUUCAAAACAUGAGAGAUUUGAAGUGUCAACACAGAUGCUGAAUCUCCAUCCAUUUCUUCCACAUAACAAAGGUAACAUAUGUAUGCAGCAUUCACUGUGAUGCCCUCUAUAUGAUUAAAAAGAAUGUUGGAUUUCUCUAGCUCCAUGCUUGCAUCUUUUAUGAAAUUGAGGAAGGUUUUUAGAUAUUUUAGACUUUCUUCAAGGACUUGAAACUCUUUCUUCAGAAGUACAAACUUGUCGAAAUCUUUCUUGUUGAUGAGAAGAUCCUUCACAUUCUGAAGGAUGUGCUCAAUGAAUUUCUGAAACACUGGGCUGCAUAAAUUUGGUAAAGGCCACCUCCCUGGAACCAAUGAAAGGAGAAACUUAUAACCUUCUUUGACUUCAGCAGAAGAUAAGUCUGCCCUUGGUCCCGAGACAGUGUCACCGACUUGCAUUCCAUGUUCGCGCAAUCUCCCCUCCUUAAUCCUUCCUUUUUGAGUUGCCCAAAACAAAAAAGUACCAAGAAAUCUCCUCUCUAUUUCAGACAUUUGUUUUCCAGCAGAAUUUCCUCAGAGUGGAUAUAUGUCGACAGCUCUGCAAGCAAAGAGAUUAAAAGCAAAUCACAUUCUAGGACAAACAAUGCAUACUCCAUAAUCUAGUUGCUCUUCAUAUUGCGUGAAAUUAACACAGAAUUCCUUUAUAUGUUGAUUGCACUCUUCCUCUUGUAUCAGAACAUUAUGCUUGAUUGUAACUAACAAACAGAUAAUAUUUAAGAAAAAGAUGUGUGUGAUCACAAAUAACAAAAACUGUUUGGUUGCACUAAAUGUUUUCUGGAAAAUGUGAAGUUAUAUCUGAAAGUCACAAUGCAUACUCUUAACUCUACACAACUAGGGGAAUGGGGAAAAAAGUCACCAGGAAAAACAAUAACAGAAAAAGAACUGGUUCCAAAGAGUUCUGAUUGUCUACUACUUACUUUUGCCUAAACUAGUUACCCUUUGUUAAUCCAAGCAAGUGAAAUUGUACAAUAACUGAUACUAGGGUCAACCUUCAAUAUUUCUUAGAGAAUUGUCACGAUUUGUUUUUUGAUGCUCAGGACAAAAUAGUGACUUUAUAUAUCAAUGCUACUUAUGUGAUUUUGAUUGUCAGGAAGUUUGCUUCAAAAUAGUUAUUACUAUAUAAAUAUUUUCCUUUUGUUUUUCUUAUUUACUAUUUCUUAAUAUUUCAGUAUUUUAGACGAAGAAAGGUUCAUAUGACUUGUAAUAACGCUAGUUGAAGUUUGUAUUAGUUUAAUACUUAUUAUUUAUUUAAUAGCUAAUUUUUAUGCUAUAAAUAUUUUUAUUAAUGCAAAUAUCUCUCUCUCUCUCUCUCUCUCUAUAUAUAUAUAUAUAUAUAUAUAUAUAUAUUUGUAUUUAAAUUAAGGUAUUAUAUAUGUCACGACUCACAAAUGUAUUAUCAAGUUAACAAAAUCUUCUAACUUCAAUAUAUAUUAUUUUAAAAUGUUCCGAGUUCUUUUUUUUAAAAAAAAAAACUCACAACAAAUGUGAAAAUAUGUGAACAUAUAUGAAUCAUUUAAAAUUUAUCAUUAACAAAAUAAACUUUAUAAUCUGUAAUAUAGAAUAAACAUUUUCAUUUUGUCCCUACACUAAAUUAAAAUCUAAUCUAUCUAUCUAUAAAAGGAGAAGAAAAAGUGCCACGUGUCAGCACCACAAAAAAACUAUAAUUAUUAUUAUUUAAAAAAUUAAUUAAAAAACUGAUGGUAAAAAAACAAUAAUUACCAUUAAAAAAAUUUAAAAACUUAUUUUUAAAAAAUAUUUAAAACGGUCAAUUAGUAGUUAGUUGUAGAAAUGGGGUAGUUUUUUUUCCAUUCACUUUUAAAAUUUAUCUAUAUAUAUCUAAAAAACAAAACAUUUUAAAAAAACAUAAAUAAAAAACAGUUUUUAAAAAUUGUUGACCAAUAAUUUUUUAUAUUAUUAUACAGCCCCUAUAUAUGUGAUAACAUGGUGUUAUUUUUCCUUGGAUGAAUUAUGCUUAAGUUAAUAAAUUGAAAAUCGUUUACAAGUAUAUGAACUAUAUCUUUGUUGGGUGUAAGAUAAACAUGUGAUUAUAUAUAUGAUUUCACAAAUAGAAUAUAUUCUUUAAUUUUAAUUUUUAGUUUUUCGGGUAAAAAAAAAAAGGAAACUUUUCUCAGUUAACUAUGGACAGUUAGAUAACUAUCUUUGAUUUAUGUACACAAUCAAUCGAGAAGUCAAAUAUGAGAACCAACAACAAGAAUGUCAGUUAUUAUGUUAUAACUUACAAAAUAAAAAUUAAUAUACAAAAAAUAGUUCUAAAAAAUAAAAUUUUGUUGUUUUCUUCACAUGCUCAUAUGGCAUAUAAACAGUUUAACAUGGAAUACACGUGCAAAACACAUCUGGUUUGACAAGAAAAAUACACAACAAAUAUCGUCUAUAAGGUAAUAUUAGUGAGAUACGACUAAUUACAUGAUUGAACCUCAUCAAAUUGAAAUAAAUAUAUACAUUAUUGCAUUUAACUAAUAAAUUUCUUCAUUGACCAUCUUCAUAGGUUCGCGUGAAUAAAAGAUAUAUAUGACGAUCCACAUUGAACAUUCACAAAAGAAUUUGCAGUAUUAUUUUGUGCAAAGCUUAUUAUUCAAAUCUUCGCUUAAUUAAGCUAGCGGGUCACAGACGGAUUUCUCGGUUAUCAAAAAAAAAAAAAAAACUAUUUACUAUAACAUAUAUUUUUUGAAUUGGUAAUCACGUAUCGAAAAACUAGUUAAUACAAAUUAAGUUUGUUCAAAAGUCUAUCACGUACCUUUUGUAACAACUUUGACAGAGCAGAAAACAGUGAUCCAGGUUUCACUACUUUGUUCUAUACUUUUAACCAGAAAGAAGAAUGAACAAGAGAUUUUAGGACUCCGGAGAGCAAAGUCCCGUACUUGCUUCCCUGACUAAAUAUUUUCACUUAAUAUAAAGCAUAAUAAUGAAAUUAAAUUACACCUAAUGAAGAAUUAAAAAUGAUUCAACUUUAUUGUUGCAUUAUACCCCAAUACAUUGCAUUUCAUUAUGGCCACUUGUGAUGGUUAAGAAAUGGAAAAAAAAAAGAGUUGACCUUAAUACAUAUAUAAUCUUAGAGGUGUUGCUUUCAGCUAAUGCCACUUGCACAUAGAAAAUAUGGCUGAUAGCCUUACCAGGAGACCAUUUAUUAAAAUAUGGCAGGAAGUUAGUCAGAUAUAGCUCUAAGGUCACGACUCGGUAUCAUAUUAGAUCAUUGACAUCCCACAUUACCUUUUCAUUACUACUAAAUACCAACUGCCUAUAUAGAAAAUUAGUUCAAAGCCCUGCUUUUCGCCAACUUCAGAAUUUUGGAAAUAGAAAGGAGAGUUGACCUUACCUUAAUCAACGGAGUAUAUAAUAUUGAUCUUGGAGAAGUGUCUACGAAAUUUACCUUUUCGUAUGGUAGGAAAGAUGGUUUUUCUAUAUAUAUGUUCAUUUUUUCUUACACAACUCCAUAGCAGCCGUCUCUCUCUCUAAUUAGAUCAUUGAAAUAUCUCAUGAUUUACGGAAGAAAGUCCUCAUUUGCUGCUACCAAUUUCACCACUUUGUCAAACAUCAGUUAAUUGGCAAAGAAAAGUCAAAUAAGACAAAGUUAAACAUUCAUCUUGUCAUUGAUUUCACUCAUGAUAUUAUUAGUAUAGAAAGCAGAAUGAGGUAUACCAUAGACUGUACAAAAAAAUAGUCUGGUAAGAAAAAUAGAGCGUUAGCGAUCAUCUGUUAUCGGAACUAGCAAUAUGGAUCCUAACUCAUUAGAUCUUAAGCUAGCCAACUUGUAUAGGUGUUUCAGUACUAAUUCCCAUUUGAGAGAGAAUUUUAAACUUGUUUGUUGAAAUUAAUCCAACACAUUGACGGUGAAGCAAUAGUCCAUUACAUUGAUAUAUUACACCCUAUGUUCCUAAACACGUUGAAUGAUUCCCUGGUUAAUCUAGACGUGAAGAUCACUGCCCUGACGGCGAUGAGUAACUUCAUUCAACGGGUGGGAGUUCAAAGGUAGGGAGAGGUUUCAGGAUCUGUUGCCUGCGAUGAUGGACAUGCUGAAUGAGGCAUUGGAAGAAAAUUGUGAGGCAUCAGCUCAGUCUGAGUUCGAGAUUUUGAUUGAGUUGGCCAAGAAUGAGCCUAGCUUCUUCAGGAUGCAGCUUGUGGUUGUGGUGGGUUCCAUGUUUGAUAUAGCUGAAUGUGAGAGUUAUGAAAAGAAAACGAGACAUUUGGCGGUUGAAUUCGUGAUGACAUUGGUUGAGGCCAGGGAGAAGACCCCUGGCAUGAUCAAGAAGUAUCCAUUGUUUACUGAAAAAUAUUUUGCAAUUUUAUUGAAUUUGUUAAAGGAUGAGGUUUAUGACCCUCUCUUGCCUGAUCCUUAUGGUAGAUGGGAUAGCAAUGAUGAUUUAGUUUUUCUUAAGAUGUGUUUAAACCGGUUGUCCAAUGCGCUGGGUGGUAAGACUGUUGGUCCUGUUGCCUUUGAGCAGCUCCCUGCUUACUUGGCUGACGACUCGUGGCAGAAGCCAUGCGCAGCACUCUAUGCACUUGCUCAGAUUGUUGAAGGCUGCUCAGAGGUGUGUAUUUAUUGAUACACUACUAAGAAUUGCAUUUAAACUGAUUAGUUAACGAUCUUGGGAUAGCAGAAGGUCACCUUGAUUAUACUUUCUUCUGUUAUUCUCUAGACUAAGUACUUUGCUUGCUCUCAUCUCUUCUUCAUUAUAAUAGGUGAUGAUUAAGAAUAUGAAUCUAGUGGUGACAAUGGUUCUGGAUUGUAUGGGACAUCCUCAUCCUGGAGUCAGAUUCGCCUCCAUGGAAGCAAUUCGCAUGUUUUUGCGUUUAAUGCGUCCCCAUUUUCAAGAACAAUGUCAUCACCAAGUAGUGCCAGCAUUAACCAAAGCUAUGGAUGAUGACAGUGUACAAGUGCAGGUCUGUAUGUCCUACGAUGAUAUGAACUCCUUUGGAUGCUCGUAUCAUAUGUCCCAAAUUACAGUUGCAAAAUUUUCUUACUGAACCUUCUCAAUGGGCUUAACUUUAACUUUAUUAGAUAUAAUCCCUGCUCUAACUUUACUAUCUUCAUAUUUUCCUAGGUCAGUGUCAUACGCACGGUCUGGAAGUUCCUUGAGGUUGGCACGCCUGAAUAUUUGACACUUUACAUCCAUGGAUUACACAAUAAAUUGCUUCAACUGUCGUCACAUACUGUUGCGGCGGUACGUAUUGUAGACUAAGUGCAAGAGAAAUCAGAUCAUUUUCUUGAACAAUGAACAGACAAUAUUACGAAUACAUUUAAGGGAAACAACCAUAAUUUCCAAGUUCCCAAUAUAAUUAUCCCGCCCUCCUUUAUAAAUUCAAAGCUUGUUACUCCCUUGAAUGUCCUUGAGGUCUUUACUUGCCUGAUUUUUUUUUUUUGUUUUUGACAUGAAAGGUCCAAAAAUCAGCGUCACUUGUACUCGAUCGUUUGCCUAAGCAUUUUAAGGUAUUACCUAGUAAUUCUGCUUCAACUUUUAUUAAGAGUAUGUUGUAUUAAGCUGGUUAUAUAUAUAUUAAUAUUAACAUUACUUCAACAGGAGUUCUAUGGGAACAACUACGAAUCUAUUAAACCACUUUGGAAAGCUUCCCUGGUAGAAGCAAAUUUUCCAAGUAAAGAUGUAGAGAUGAUCAUGUCAAUGCGCAAACCUGGCAGUUCGGUAUUUCCAAAACAGGUCUUCCACCAGUUAUACCAAAUGGAUUCUAUACAUCUCACUGAACUUAGAGCUUAUUGUUUAUUCGUUUUCUAUUUUUCUAUUUAGAACUUAGAGAUUAUGGAAGCAGUUAUGUCAUUACAAGGAUCACAAGAGGAUGAUAAGGAUACAAGUACGAUCUACAAGCUAGAGGUAUGUGUUGUUGAGAAUAUCGUUAACUAAUAAAAUGGUGUUCUCUCUAAUAGCUUAAGCUUUUAGAUGAGAUGGUCACGCACUUCAACAUGUUAUCAGAGCAGGCAGAGGCCCUGGGAUCAAAUCUCUUCGCCACCUUUCAAAUUAAAAAGAAUUUCCACGUGCUAAUCAGUCAGACAUUCUUUCAAGAUUGGUCUCUCUAUAUUUCUUGAUCUCAUUGCAGGCUAUUAGUGUAAUUUGUGAGGACAGAGGGAAAGAUUUUCUUCCUUGCACCAGCAUUGUCAUGCCCCUUUUGUUUCAAUGUGCUCAACUCGAACCUGAUAAAAUCAUAUUAUCUCCAGAUUCAGACCAUACUUGUUUAGCUGAUAAUAGGUACGCCUUUUUGUCUGAUCAUUGCUCUGAGUGAUCGCCUUUUUAUGUACAUUAUAACAUCUUGCAGUAUACACAGAGUCAAGGUUGGCAAUUCAACGAUAUGUAUAAAAGAAAGUUCCCUAAAGAAGAAAGCUUUAGCAUGUAAAGCCCUAGUCAUGGUUGCUUACAAAUUGAAGGAAGACUUUUACCCAUGGAUUUUCCAGGUUGUCACACUUGGACUUCUCUCUUUUUCUUUCUUUCUACCCGUGCUUUUGAUCGCGAACUGAAAAUUUGACAAGUGGUUUCAAUGGCCUAAUGCUUGAUAAAUGAUACAGACUGCUUCAAUUUUAUUUCCACUUUUGAAAUUCCAUUUCAAAGAGGUCAGGUUCCAUACAGUUGAAGGUGAGAUUUCUCAGGAUUUCACAUAGUUAAUUUCUCCGUCUUUUAUAACUAUCUGAUCACCUCCAAGACUUUUUAAUUUGUAAUGUUUAUAGCGAUGAAGCACCUUUUGCAAUCUGCUAAACUGGCUGAUGAGAAAGGGAUUGCUCCAGGUGAAAGCCAUUCGGAUUUCAAGCAGUUUUCGGACAGUAUAAUACUGAAUUUGGUGGAAGCUUUGCAUGAGGUUUACUUUUAACAUUAAGCUUCUUCUAUUUGGAUAAUGAGAAAGUAACACUUUGAUUUCUAUAUAAUGCAGGAGCUUGAAACAGAGAUAUAUGUACAUAUGUUGUAUACAUUACGACUGUGCCUUCAGGUUCGUGAUCUUUAAACACUGCUUAUUUGUUUUGAUCCAAAGUUUUCAGUGUUUCACUAUGAGCUAGGUAUGAAGUUUUUUGAAAAUGUUGCCUAUGUGGACCACUUCUCAAUGAAGAUCAGCUUCGUCCAGUCGUGGAUGAGAUAAAGCAUGUCAUUACAGAAAAUUUAAAUAGCCAAGGAAAACUCACAGAGAGAGAAAAAACAGAAGACUUCGAUGCUGAGGAAGCUGAAUUGCUGAGAGGGGAAAAACAUCAACAAGAUCAAAUAUUUAAACUUGUAUGUUCUAUAUUAAAACAGGAACUAAAGUGAUACACUGUUGUCUUUAUAUAUUCAAGCAUUUUCGCUUUGGUUCUGCUGUUAUUCUUGAACAGGCUGGUGGCAUAUUAGGUAGACUAAUCGAAUCAUUCAAGGUUGUUUUCUUGCCUUACUUUGACGAGCUAUCAUUAUAUCUGAUUCCGAUGUGGGUAAGUUCAUUGACACUAUUGUAACAUGACGUUAGUUUAUCAUUAUUCAUAUCUAGCAUAUCUUAUUGUUUCCGAUUUUUGUUAAGGACAAAGAAAUGACAAGUCUAGAGAGAUGUACAUCACUUUAUAUCUUUGGUGGUCUUGUGAAGCAUUGCUCUGAAGCAGCUCUAAAGUGAGUUUAAUUUAUCUGUAUGAGUUUUUCUUAAAUUAUUGGGGUGUCACCAUUUUGAUAAAUCACUUACUUCCUAUGCCAACUAGGUACUGUAAUGAAUUUCUACCUUUGCUUCUGAAAUCAAGCAAUGACGAAAACCCAGCAGUUAGACAGGUUUGGAUCAUCGUGAUUGCUUACAUUCCUGUUACUCAAGUUGGUUGCUCACAGUAUGGUUUAACCAAAACACCAAUGACUUCAUGUUCAGAAUGCUCUACAUGGACUUGGGUUUUAUGCAGAAUAUCAUGGUUCUGUUUUCAAACCUUUUGUUAGAGGUAUUAAUAUUGUUGAAUGUGAUACUUCUAAUCAAGCAAGUGUUUUUGUUAACUUACGCGUUUAUGUUCAGAGGCUAUGUCACGGAUCAAUGUAGUGAUAAUGCAUUUACGUGCUCGUGAACCUGAGAAUGAACUUGCAUAUGAUAGUGCUGUUUUUACCCUUGGUAAAAUAUUUCAGUUUCAUCGAGAACUUAUCGACUCAGCCCAGGUUUGUCCUUCUCAGAAUCCCUAAUGUUAAGUCUUGUUAUAAUUUCUGAUUCUGAAUCCUUGUGUAGGUCAUUCCCAUUUGGUUGAAUUGCCUGCCUGUAAAAGGUGACUAUGUUCAUGGUCAACUAUGUUCCAUGGUUGAAAGGUAUUGGAUUUGUUUGCAAACUCUAAUAUGUCAUAUCUUCAUAAAAUGCAGGAUUUUAUCCCACGUUUAGUUGAAAGUAUUAUGUAAUCAUAAGACUAUUUAUCCCACCAUUUAUACCUUAGUGAUGUGAUAAGUUAUUUCAUUCCGAAAUAGUUGAUGUCAGGAUAACUUAUUCCAAACCAAAUGACCCAUUAAUGAUUUAUCAAAUUUUCUCAAUUUCAGGUCAGAUAGAGAACUUUUGGGUACCAAUUAUGAACACUUCCCAAAAAUUAUGUCAAUUUUUGCAGAGGUUAGUUCCAUAUCAGAAUCUAUAGAUGCCAGUUUGAGUUGUUUAUUUGCUCCUGAUAAAUAUUAAAUGAGAUAAGUAUUGAAAACAUUCUUAGAUUAGGUGUAAAUUAUUAAUUUCAUAAUCGAACUAUUGACAAUCUUAAAAACACUCAAUUCUUUGACUAACUAAACUUACACUUCUGAUCUUGCAACAUGACCGAAAUACAUCCCUAAUUUAGGGGUGCUUUCAACACUCCUCUAUGAAAUAUGGCAGAUCAGAGAUGUAUCUAAGUUUAAUCUGGUCAAAUAGAGGUGUAUUUUUAAGACUAUCAAUAAUUCAAGAACGAAACGAACAAUUUGUGUCAAGUUUAAGAGUGUUUUUGAAUCAAACUAAAGACUUUUUUUAUUCAAUUUCGUAUAGUUAAUUUAGUUUCACUUUUUAAGGUUAUAUGUGGUGGAAAACAUCUUGCUACAGAAGAAACAACAAAGUGUAUGAUUAAUCUGUUGAGGAAUCUUCUUAAAGAACUACCACCAGACACUUUGACAUCAGCAUGGUCAUUGAUAUUGCCUCAGCAAGAAAUGGAACUAAAAGCCAUUUUAUUUCCUGGAAUACUUCAUGUGGUACGUUUUCACAACAAAACAUUUUGUAUGCUUGACACUGAUACCAAUGAAAGCUCUCCCCCUUACUCUUUACCAUCCAAAAUUGUCAAACUUCUCGAGGAAGAACAUCAGAAAAAUAGUAUUAUUGUUCCACAAAUGUAACUUAUAAACCAUAAAUUGUUUCUUUAAAGUUUUGUAUCAUUUAAGUAUACAAGAUGAUACUAUAGUUGAUUUGUGGGGAAUUGAAUAUGUAAUUAUCAUUAGACUAUCUAUGUUAUAUCUUUUUACGAUUUAUCUAUCCAUUUGGAAUUUCUUUAUUUUAGUUUUUCAUAAGUUGAAAUUCAUAUUGUGGCAUAUAAUUUAAAUAAUUGUUUAUUAAAAUUAAACAAGUCAAACCUUAAGGACCUAAAAUCUAAACCUGACGGCAUAAACCCUGAGAGGUCGUUUGGUGUGAAAGAUAACUUUAAAUAGUCCUACGAUUAAAUUAUAAUGUCACUAAAUUUGUUGUUUGAUUGGCAAUUUCGUGAUAACUUAUCUCAUGAUUAAUAAUUAAUACAAGGAUAAAUUAUCCCUUCCCUUGGAUGGUACAAUAAUCCCGAGACAAUUUAUCACAAGAUAAAAUGACUAAAUGACAAAAAUAUCUUUUUAAACACUUUUUAUACAUUAUUUUUCAUAUUCAUGAACGGUAUUUUUGUAAGCAUAUAUGUUGUUCUUAAGAUUUAUUAUUUUGAAUACAACAAACCAAAAAUUCAAUAAAAAAUAAUAUCAAUAUAACUUAUUCCAUCAUAACUUGAAUUCAAACCAAACGACUGCAUCUUAGAGCCCAAAAAAUAAACUCAAAACUCAAAAUCAUAAACCCUAAACCUUAAACCUUAAACCUUAAACCUCAACCUUAAAGUCUAAACCAUAAACCCAAAACUCAAAAGCUUGGGGCCUAAAACCUAAGAUUUACGAUUUAUGGUUUAGGAUUUAGACCAGGGCUGUCUUAACCCCUAGGCCACUAAAGCCAUCGCUUGGGGCCCCAUAUAUUUUGGGGCCCCCAUUUAAAAAAACAAUUACUUAUAUAUGUUAUUUAAAAAAUAAUAAUUAUAUGUAUUAUGAGUGUUAUGAUUUCUACUAAGGAAAUUGCAUAUGAGAUGAAAAUAAACUGAAUUUCGUAAGAAACAAUUUGAUGAAAAUGUGGAUAGCGAAAUCACAAAGUCCUUUGAAGAACCUUUUAGAAUUGGUUGUUUUAUAUAUGUAGAGUAGAUCAAACUAUUUUUUCACUUCAAAAUAGAUUUAAAUCAAUUGAAACAUAUGGAAAUAUUUUUGAUUUCUUAUUUAGUGGUAAAAUAUUGAGAUCACUAGAUGAACAUAUGGAAAUAUUUUUGAUUUCUUAUUUAGUGGUAAAAUAUUGAGAUCACUAGAUGAACAUAUGGAAAUAUUUUUGAUUUCUUAUUUAGUGGUAAAAUAUUGAGAUCACUAGAUGAUGAGAAUUUUUUUUUUUGUCUUAACUUUGAACUUUCUUUAUCAUGUGAUAGUUAUUAUGAUAUUGAUGGUUUAGAUUCAUUUUUUGAAUUAAAAGUGUUAAGGGAAAUAAUACAAGUAGAAGAUAAUGAUCUAAUGAAAAUNNNNNNNNNNNNNNNNNNNNNNNNNNNNNNNNNNNNNNNNNNNNNNNNNNNNNNNNNNNNNNCUCAAUCAAAUAAAAAGACUUGAUUCUUUUCCAAAUACUCAUAUUGCUUAUAGAAUAAUGUUAACAGUUCCUGUAACUAUUGUCUCAGCCGAAAGAAGUUUUUUGCGAAAUUAAAAUUGAUUAAAUCUUCUUUAAGAUCAACAAUGUCUAAAGAGAGAUUGAAUGAAUUAGCUAUAUCAUCAUUUGAAAAGAAAUUAUUAAAACAAAUUGAUUAUAAUAUAGUACCUAAUGACUUCACAUCUAAAAUAGCUAGAAAAGUAGAUAUUAAAUAAAAGUAUUUAUGAUGAAAAAAAAUUAGGGCCUCUCUCUUAAGUUUCGCUUUAGGCCCCCAAUGUUGUUGAGUCGGUCCUGAUUUAGACUCUAAGAUUUAUAUUUUAGGGGUUAUAGUUUAUAGUUUUGACUAUAAGAUUUAGGAUUUAAGAUUUAUAAUUUUAGAGUUUAGGCCUUAUGGUUAAGUGUUUAGAGAUUAAGAUUUAUAAUUCAUGUAUAAAUUAAAAUAUAGGGUUUAGGUCCAAGGUUCAUAUGGUUAUUUGAGGUCAAUCUUUAAGAAUAAUUGAACCAAACCCAUUUGAACCCAAAAUAAAUUUGAACGCAUUGAUCAACUUCGUGAUUUUUUUCUACACUUUUGACUCUUCAUCACCUUUCUACAAUUACAAUUGUUUCACAAAUCCUUUUUUAAAAUCUUUCAAAACAUAAUUAUAAAAAAUAUCUUUGUAAAUCCAUUCUAUUUCCUAAUCCCUUUCAUAAAACAAAUAAUCAAAAUAGCCUCAGAAGGAAGGCAGUAGUAUAGUCAUAAUCAUUAUUUUGAUCAUUAACGCAAAUCUACUCAUCAUCGGCAAAAAAAUAAUAAUUAAAAGAAACAAAAAAACAAUUAUUAUUGUAAUGCUUGAAAGUUUUGCAAUUUUCCUAAUUCAAAAUUAUUGACUAUCGAUUUUGAUAAUGUAUUUCUCAAAAUUGUUGUGUGAAAUACAUGAGUAAAAUUUUGACUAUCAAUAAUUUUGACAUGAGUAAAAUACAUCUGAACUCAAAAUUCAAAAUACAUUUCAAAACUCAAAAUUAAGAGUCAAAUUUGAGCAUAAAAUUUAGGACUUGGAAUCUAAACUCAAAAUUUGAAAGCAUAUACCUUAGGGCAUAGACCCUAAACCUUAAGAGCCUAAACUCUAAACAUUAUGUCCAAUUUUAUGAACCCUAAAUCUUGAACCUUAAAUCCCAAGUCAUAAACCCUAAAAUCUUAGAACUUAACCCAAAACUCUAAACCUUAAAGCCUAAACCUUAAACCUUAAACCUUUAAAUCCUAAAUCUUAAUGUUUAGGAUUUAUGAUUUAUGGUUUUAGAUUUUAAAAUUUAAGAUUUAGAGUUCAGACAAUAUGGUCAAGAGUUUUAAGUUUUAUGAUAUAAGAUUUAGGCCUUAAAAUUUGAAGUUUAGAUUUUAACAAUUAGCCUCUAAACUUUAAGAUUAAAAAUACAGCAUUUGAACAUUAUUAUAAUAAAUAAUUAUGUAGUACCCCAACGUCCAAAUACACCACAAAAAUUAGAUGCAGAGGAUAGCGAGGGGAACAUUAUUAUAGCUUCACUUGCUAAAGUACCACACCAUAAAAGUGUAAUCCACAAAAUAUAAUUAGCAAAGCAUAGAACAAUUAACAACAACAUACCCAAUAAAAUCCCCACAAAUCCACGCAAACCUUAUCAUUAUCUCGUAAAAAAAAAUAAAAAAAUAUGAAAUUAAUUCAGUCCCUUAGAUGUUCAAUUAAUUGCGAUCAUCUUCGCAAAUCAUUACAGGUCUGUAACUGUAAAAAAUUAAUCAUCAUUGUUGUUUCAGAAAAGGGUCAAAAUUGUCCCCGAACUAUAUGAAAUAGACCAUUUAUACCCUUCGUUACAUUUUGGGAUCAAAAAUGCCCCUGCUGUUAUCCUAAGAGACCACAAAUACCCUCAAGAGUUAACACCCCAAAUUUUUGUUGAUGUGGCAAGCCACAUGGGACUAAUCCUUCCACCUAAGAGUUGCCAACUAGGAUUCACUACAAAAGAACUAGACUUUUAGCGGCAAUAACAGUCGCCACAAAAGCCCAGAAAAUCGUCACUAAAAGUUUUUAACAUUAAAUUCUAAUUUUGUGUUUUUUUCUUCAUUGUUUUUAAAAAACCAAAUAUGAUAUCGAUUAAGUAGGAGUUUGAAGACACUAUAUGUUUUAUUUUUAUGUCAUAUGUAAAUGUAUAAAAUGUACAAUGAUGCAUUAUAUAUAUAUAGUAGGAGAUUUGAAUCGAGAAGUAAUUUUGAUGAUUUUUCGUAAUAAUAUUGGAUAUUUUUAAUAUUGAUAUUGCAAAGUUAUUUAUUUUAGAAAAUUAGGUUGCAAUCGAAAAUUAAUUAUCAUAUUAUUUUGUUGAAAAAAUAGGUUUUACUAGCGAAUGGUUGUUGGAGCGUUAGUCGCCACUAAAAAUCACUCAUAACCUUUAGUGGCAAUAUUUUGAGGUUUUGUGGCGACUUUGUCGCCACUAAAAGUCAAGUUCUUUUGUAGUGAAUCUUAGUUGGCAAUGCUUAGGUGGAGGGAUUAGUCCCAUGUGACUUGCCACGUCACUAAAAAAUUGGGGUGUUUAACUCUUGAGGGUAUUUGUGGUCUCCUGGGAUAACUGCGGGGGUAUUUUUGAUUCCAAAAUGUAAUUGAGAGUAUAAGUGGUCUAUUUCGCAUAGUUCAGGGUCAAUUUUGACCCUUUUCCGUUGUUGUUUUCAUAUACAAUGAUUAGAAUAAAAUAUAUAUAAAAAUUUUUGAUGAACAAACUCAGUCCCUUAGAUGUUCAAUUUUUUGCGAUCAUUUUCGGCAAAUCAUUACAGGUCUGUAACUGUAAAAAAUUACUCAUCAUCGUUGUUCAUCAUCAAAAAACUAUUAUGAAAAAAAUUAAAAAAAAAGUUGUGGCUGCACCAAUUGUUCUCCACAGAUUAAAUUAAAUGAAGAGAAAGAUGAAAAAGGAACAACACACUUAUUAAUGCUUCAAGGGAACGAGUUGGUCAAAAAUAAAUUAUUUCUUGCCAACCAGAUUAAAGAAGCAUAUAACUCAAAAUAUAUACACAAAAAUAAUAAAUUUAUUUAGAGUUUAGAAGAUAUAUCACCAUCUAGCUGGAUAUGAUUAUUAUGCAUAAUGAAUAAAGGAAACAGCUUAAGAGAAAAACUGGUCCGUUAGAUCUCCUCUUUCAAUCGCAAUCUUCUAUUUCUGCACAGCAAAGAAACACUUCUCAAAUAUAUUUUACGAAAGAUUUAACAGGUAAAAGUGUACAAGCUCAAAAUAUGAUGCAAUUAAUCUUGAGUCAGUUACCUGUUAAACCAGUGUUGCCGCUUUUUAUAUGCAAGGGGUAAAUAAGGACCUUGAGCUCUGCAUUUGCAUAUCCUUCUUGCACUUCUUGAAUGUCCUUGACUGAUUUUUCAAGAGACUCACCACAUCGUUUCACUUCAACGUAUCAGAGCCUAAGGGCUCAAAUCUUUAGAUUCUCUAAAACAAAAUUUCAAUAAGGGGUCUACAGUAUAAAUAAAAUUUUAAUAUUCAAACAUUUCAAUAUUAUUUAAAUUAAUUUACCUUAGAGAUUGACAUAAUUCGAAAACCAAAUACCGAAUAAAUAAUUCAUAAAACUGAAAUUAUCAUCGCCGGACCAGUGACCACUAGUACCUCCAAACAACUCAAAAACAAACUACCACCCGAUCACACCAAAUCGGUCGUUACAUGAAAUGAGACAUUUCAUGGUAACGAUGGAUCUAAAUGAUACAAUACAAUAAAAUUUAAGUAACAAUCAACAUAAGUAUUGUAUUUAAACUAACUAUACAAUAUAAUGGGUAACAACCAUCCAAACAAGGUGUUAAUGUAAAAGCAUACAGAAUAUCAUAUAAUAAAGUUCAUAUAUCAAUGCAAUGGAUCCAUUGAAAGAAAGUAUUUUGAAGUACACACAAAACUCAAAAACAAGAAAAUUAUCCAUCUAGCUGGAUAUGAUUAUGCAUAAUGAACAGAGGAAACAGCUUAAGAGAAAAACUGGUCCGUUAGAUCUCCUCUUUCAAUCGCAAUCUUCUAUUUCUGCACAGCAAAGAAACACUUCUCAAAUAUAUUUUACGAAAGAUUUAACAGGUAAAAGUGUACAAGCUCAAAAUAUGAUGCAAUUAAUCUUGAGUCAGUUACCUGUUAAACCAGUGUUGCCGCUUUUUAUAUGCAAGGGGUAAAUAAGGACCUUGAGCUCUGCAUUUGCAUAUCCUUCUUGCACUUCUUGAAUGUCCUUGACUGAUUUUUCAAGAGACUCACCACAUCGUUUCACUUCAACCAUCUUUAGAGUAGCAAUAUGUCCAACCAUGGAAGGAAUUUCUCGAAGAUUAAAGCAGUUUUCUAUAAGAAUGUGUUCGAGGUUGGGAAAGGACUCAUCUGAUGCAUUCCAUGUUGUUAUUGUAAGGGAUCUUAAUUUAAGAACCUUGAGGUUCAGAAACUCUUCAUCUUCGAUCUCCCAUUUGUCCUGCUGAAAUGCUCUAUGUUCCAACUUGAGAACCACUAAAUUUGGUAAUCUUCCGAUAUUAGACAGUUCACUUUGUGGCAACAAAACAUCUGAUAGAGUUAGCUUUGUUAGUGUCGCGGGCAAGGUGAAAUUCAAAAUCUUACCGUUUACACUGAGUGUUUCAAGUUGAAGAGCAUGUAAUUUGAGUUUGAGAGGCUCUUUACAGUGGCAUUUGAGCUUUCGCAGUCUGCUUGCCUUCUUGACCAUGUAGUCUACUAGCUCAUUAGUGAGAGACACUGUGGCCAAGGUCUCUAUGUUUGUCGAUGUCUGAGGAAUGCGUCCAUCAAAAGAUGCAACAGGUUCAACAUGUACAUGCUUUAGCCUUGGCAUAUUCCAGAUGGUCAUCGGUAAAAUUGUGCCACUGCCUACUGUUAUUACAAGCAAUACCUCUAGGUUUGAAAGGUUCGAUAUCCAUAAUGGCAUAGAUACCAUAUAGCCUUUGAUUCCUAAGUACUUCAAAUGGAUCAGCUCUUUUGAUCUCUGGAAUGAACUCUCCGACAUAGUACAUUCCAUUUGUAGUACUCUUAAUAGUUUAAAGUUCUCAAGAUCAAGAAAUUCCUGGCAGCCAGAUUUCGGGGGUCUGAAGAAUGCAGAUCGAACUUGCAUGUUUCCAAUCUUCCCUGCCCAAUAAAGGCUAUGAUGAAUGCAAAGCCUCCGGUGCUCAUAAAAGGAACUAGACAAAUCAGUCUUCCCGGUGCUUGUUAGUUGCAUAAACUUCUCUUCCUUAGACUUUGUCAUGCAAAAAUCAUGUAACAUAUCAUGAAUGCGGCAUGUUCUGACUCCUCCAGUGGACUUUCUCUUGCUCACCAUUAUCAAGCUUCUACCAAUGAGAUCAUUCAGUAAACUUUCUACAGCAAGGUGUAUACUUUCUACCUCUAUGUUUGGCACCAAUCCCUCAAUAGUCCAUAACCACUCCAAGUUCGAGAGUGGAAUUUCUUCAUCCUUUUGAAAUGAUGCAAAAUAUAGAAGGCAGGGUUUGAGAUGAUCAGGCAAGUGCUUGUAGCUCAGUUCUAUAACCUCCAUGCACUCUUUUGCACUAGUAACAGUAUCUAACUUUAUACUCUCUGCGACUCUUCUCCAACUUUCCUCAUUUUCGCUUAUCCCAGACAAAACUCCAGCAACCAAAAUCACAAGGAGAGGUAGUCCUUUACACUUACUCGCGAUGUUUGCUCCUACUUUUGAUAGGUCUGGUGGGCAAGUUUGUUCCUUGAACAGCUUGAUUUUCAUUAGUUCCCAACUUUCAUUUUCGUCAAGAAAACGAAGUUCAAGAGGUUCUCUUCCACGUGUAAUGUUGGAAGCCACAUCAAUGUUUCGGCUGGUUAAUAAAAUCCUGCUUCCGUUUCCAUUAUCCGGUAAGCAUCUGUGCAAGUAUUUCCAUGUGUCAACACUCCAUAUGUCAUCAAUGUAGAGAAGGUACUUCUUUCUUAACAGAAAUUUCCGCAAAGCAUCUGCUGGAUCUUUCUCAUUCUGUUUGUUAGAACAUUUGACUUGAUUCAAAAUUCCGAGCAGCAACUUUCUUCUGUCAUAAGUUUGGGAAACACAACACAUAGCUUGGACGUCAAAAUGACGCCGCAUUUUCUUAUCAUGAAAAACUUUCUUUGCUAGUGUAGUUUUUCCAAGACCAGGCAUCCCUACGAUAGAAACAACAUCCAAGUACUUUGGUCCUAUAGUGAGCUGUUCGAUUAGCAAGUCAGUCUCAUCCUUAAAACCCACCAUUACCUCAUCAUGUUGUGUAGUCUCAACUACUGGUCUGACAGGAUUUGGUCCUUGUUCUUCAAUAGGGACUUCAACUUCUCGCGUAAUCGUAGCAUGGAACUCUUUCAAAUGAUCCCUUACAACCUUAGUUUCUGUUGUGAUCUUACAUAACAAAUGUAGAUACCAAACAGGAUAAUCUCCGGUAACCAGGCAAUCAAUUAUGCAUUCUGCCUGAUAUGCUAGAGAUAUGACUUCUGUCCAUAGAUCAUGUUUCUUCACCUCCUCAAACUCAUGGUUUUUCUUCUCAACUUCCUUCAAGAAGAAUCUUAAGAGAUAUAACUCUUCCCGAGCUUCUUCAAUAAGAUGCUUGACAACAGAAUCACACUUUCCGUCUUGCAGCAGCUCUUUCAGAUAGCAUAAGAGAUAAUCGAUAAACCCCAAUCCAUUUGUCCUAGGAAAAUUACAUUUUGAUGACACUACAUCUUUCAGAAUCACAUCUUUUAGAUCUUCCAUGACAUGUUCAAUCUUUUUUAACAAGUCACUGAAUACCGAGUUAACUUCUGCUGCUUUGUCAACGGAGAAAGAGAAAGCAGCAGAUACUACCUCAGCAAUCAGACCUUCAAUGCAAGUAAGUUUGUCACUCAUUUUUUCCUGGAUAACAUAUAAAUCUUCUGGUGGACAAAUGAGCAAAGUUACCAAUUGCUUUGAUGCUUCGGCAAGGCUUUUGAUUUGAUCCUUUUUAAGAGGAAGCAUCAAAGAACAUGCCUCACCGUCUGAUAACUCCAACAAAUCCUUGAAGAUGAAAUGAACAAAACCUUCAACAAAUUCUAUCACAUCCCGGCUGUAUUGGAUUUGCAAUUUAACUGAACCUCUUAGAGCUCCAGUAUAGAUUUCUGCAACGUCCGGAUCAAUGGGCUUGAUAUAUUUCAAAACAUGAGAGAUUUGAAGUGUCAACACAGAUGCUGAAUCUCCAUCCAUUUCUUCCACAUAACAAAGGUAACAUAUGUAUGCAGCAUUCACUGUGAUGCCCUCUAUAUGAUUAAAAAGAAUCUUGGAUUUCUCUAGCUCCAUGCUUGCAUCUUUUAUGAAAUUGAGGAAGGUUUUUAGAUAUUUUAGACUUUCUUCAAGGACUUGAAACUCUUUCUUCAGAAGAACAAACUUGUCGAAAUCUUUCUUGUUGAUGAGAAGAUCCUUCACAUUCUGAAGGAUACACUCAAUGAAUUUCUGAAACAAUGGGCUGCAUAAAUUUGGUAAAGGCCACCUCCCUGGAACCAAUGAAAGGAGAAACUCAUAACCUUCUUUGACUUCGGCAGAAGCUAAGUCUGCCCUUGGUCCCGAGACAGUGUCACCGACUUGCAUUCCAUGUCUGCACAAUCUCCCCUCCUUAAUCCUUCCUUUUUCAUUUGCCCAAUACAAGAAAGUACCAAAAAAUCUCCUCUCUAUUUCAGACAUUUGUUUUCUAGCAGAAUUUCCUCAGAGUGGAUAUAUGUCGACAGCUCUGCAAAGAGAUUAUAAACAAAUCACAUUCUAGGACAAACAAUGCAUACUCCAUAAUCUAGUUGCUCUUCAUAUUGCGUCAAAUCCGGUGUAUCAUGAAAAAACUAAACAUAUUGAGGUUGAUUGUCAUUUUAUUCGUGAGAAGAUUCAGGAAAACAUGAUUUCCAUUGGCUACGUGAAGACAUGAGAGCAACUAGCUGAUCUAAUUUUAUUGAAUUUUGUUCUUUGGUUUUACAUUGGUUUAGACAAUUAAAAUACAUAAUUUAAUUUUAAUUUUCCUUAAAUAUUUAGUAAUGUAACUAAUACUUAUUAAACUUGUAAUUUUAGCAUGAUUUAGUACUUUUAAAUUAUGAUCAUUUUCAUUAUGACUUUGCAAUAUUUAUUUUAUAUAAUGAUUUCAUUAUUAUUUUUUAUUGAAUAUUUUUGUUCAUCAGUACUCAUCUCAUAUUUUGUGUUAUUUUUUUUUAAGAAAUACCUUAGAUAAUUGUAUUUUGGUUGGACUAAAGAAAUAUUUGGAGCACAAGUUAAUUAUAUGUUUGUAUGCAAACUUUACCGAAAAAAUCCAAAAAUCUAAAAAAAUCCGAGGUUUAUUAGUUUGGUUUGAUUUAUAAAUUUAAAAAUUCGACACAAUGGUUUGGUUUGGUAUUUGAAAAACCUGAAAAAAUCCGAAUUUUAUUAGUUUGGUUUGGUUUAUAAAUUUAAAUUUUUUACACAAAUGGUUUGAUUUGAUAUUUGAAAAACCCAAACCAAUCCGGUCAUGUACACCCCUAAUUGCAAUUAUAACUUGAUUAUGUGGAGUAUAGAUUUCAUAAGAAUAAUACUACUUGUUUAAUGUAGAAAAAAAAUAUAUGUUACUUAAUUCUAUGCAAAGCAUGUUAGCCCCAUAGAAUCGGGUAAUUUUGAUAAUGAAACACUUAAUCGACUUGUGACUUAUUGCAGGCAAAUAAGGAAAGAAAUGAGCCAAGCAUACAACACCUAAAUUAUGAACUAUGUCUAUUUGUAUAACAGAUGAAUGAAGAAUAUAAAAUGAUGCAACUUCAUUGUUUCAUUAUGGCCACUGGUAAUGGCUAAGAAAUGAUUUUUUCCCCUCUGUUUCAAUUUGUUUGACCUAUUUUGACUUGACAUGAAAUUUAAGAAAGUAAAAAAGAUUUUUGAAUCUUGUGGUCUUAAAUAUGUCGUGUAGAAAAUUGAAGUUAAAGAGUUGCUAAAAAAAGAAAAGGUCAUUCUUUUUUAAACAGACUAAAAAGAAAAGUAAAUCAAACAAAUUAAAAAGGAGGAAAUAAUUGAAAGUUUAAACCUACUAAAAAGAAAAUUAGGUGAAGAGUCAGUGUCAUACUAAUUAGAUCAUUGAAAUAUCUCAUGAUUUACGGAAGAAAGUCCUCAUUUGCUGCUACCAAUUUCACCACUUUGUCAAACAUCAUUUAAUUGGCAAAGAAAGUCAAAUAAGACAUUUGCAAGUUAGAUAUUAUUCUUGUCAUUGAUUUCACUCAUGAUAUUAUUCGUAUUAGAAAGCAGAAUGAGGUAUACCAUAGACUGUAUAAAAAAAUAGUCUGCUAAGAAAAAUUGAGUGUUAGCGAUCAUCUCUUAUCGGAAAAGGUCGGAAUCUAAGUCAAUGAUGAAGCAGAAGGAUCCCUAACUCAUUAGCUCUUAAGCUAGCCAAGUCUCUUGGCUCUGAUCAGCUAGCUGCUGCACUUCAUCCUGACAACAACUGGCCUAAAUUAUUACCAAUCUUUUAUAGAUGUUUCAGUACUCACUACAAGAAAAUGUACAUACGGCGACAUUAAUUUGGUGACAUUUGAAAUAAAUGUCGGAAAAUAAAGAAUUUUACGAUAUUUAGGAACAAAAUGUCAUAAAACAAUGACAUUUGAUGUCAAAUGUCGUAAAAAUAAUGACAUUUGGUAUCAAAUAUCAUAAAAAUAAUGACAUUUGGUCCAAAAUGUCACUAUGAUAAUGACAUUUAUUGCAAAAUAUCGUUGUUUUUAGCGACAUUUAGCAAAAAUGUCAUUUAAAUGAUGACAUUUGCUACAAAUGUCGAAUAUAAUAUGACAUUUACUACAAAAUGUCAUUGGUUUUAGUGACAUUUAGAAAAAAUAUCGCUUAAAUAGUGACAUUUAAUAUAAAUGUCGAAUAUAUUAUGACAUUUACUGACAAAUGUCAUUGAUUUUAGUGACAUUUAGAAAAAAUGUUACUAAAAUAGUGACAUUUGUAGUAAAAUGUCAUUGAUUUUAGCGAUUUUUAGCAAAAUUGUUGCUAAAAUAGCGACAUUUCAUACAAUUGUCGAAUAUAUUACGACAUUUAUUGCAAAAUGUCAUUGAUUCGAUCGACAUAUAUAGUGAAAAUUUCCCUAAAACAGUGACAUUUUUAUACAAAUAUCAAAUAUAUUAUGUCAUUUGUUGAAAAAUGUCAUUGAUUUUUAUGACAUAUGAUGAAAAGUACUGUUAAACNNNNNNNNNNNNNNNNNNNNNNNNNNNNNNNNNNNNNNNNNNNNNNNNNNNNNNNNNNNNNNNNNNNNNNNNNNNNNNNNNNNNNNNNNNNNNNNNNNNNNNNNNNNNNNNNNNNNNNNNNNNNNNNNNNNNNNNNNNNNNNNNNNNNNNNNNNNNNNNNNNNNNNNNNNNNNNNNNNNNNNNNNNNNNNNNNNNNNNNNNNNNNNNNNNNNNNNNNNNNNNNNNNNNNNNNNNNNNNNNNNNNNNNNNNNNNNNNNNNNNNNNNNNNNNNNNNNNNNNNNNNNNNNNNNNNNNNNNNNNNNNNNNNNNNNNNNNNNNNNNNNNNNNNNNNNNNNNNNNNNNNNNNNNNNNNNNNNNNNNNNNNNNNNNNNNNNNNNNNNNNNNNNNNNNNNNNNNNNNNNNNNNNNNNNNNNNNNNNNNNNNNNNNNNNNNNNNNNNNNNNNNNNNNNNNNNNNNNNNNNNNNNNNNNNNNNNNNNNNNNNNNNNNNNNNNNNNNNNNNNNNNNNNNNNNNNNNNNNNNNNNNNNNNNNNNNNNNNNNNNNNNNNNNNNNNNNNNNNNNNNNNNNNNNNNNNNNNNNNNNNNNNNNNNNNNNNNNNNNNNNNNNNNNNNNNNNNNNNNNNNNNNNNNNNNNNNNNNNNNNNNNNNNNNNNNNNNNNNNNNNNNNNNNNNNNNNNNNNNNNNNNNNNNNNNNNNNNNNNNNNNNNNNNNNNNNNNNNNNNNNNNNNNNNNNNNNNNNNNNNNNNNNNNNNNNNNNNNNNNNNNNNNNNNNNNNNNNNNNNNNNNNNNNNNNNNNNNNNNNNNNNNNNNNNNNNNNNNNNNNNNNNNNNNNNNNNNNNNNNNNNNNNNNNNNNNNNNNNNNNNNNNNNNNNNNNNNNNNNNNNNNNNNNNNNNNNNNNNNNNNNNNNNNNNNNNNNNNNNNNNNNNNNNNNNNNNNNNNNNNNNNNNNNNNNNNNNNNNNNNNNNNNNNNNNNNNNNNNNNNNNNNNNNNNNNNNNNNNNNNNNNNNNNNNNNNNNNNNNNNNNNNNNNNNNNNNNNNNNNNNNNNNNNNNNNNNNNNNNNNNNNNNNNNNNNNNNNNNNNNNNNNNNNNNNNNNNNNNNNNNNNNNNNNNNNNNNNNNNNNNNNNNNNNNNNNNNNNNNNNNNNNNNNNNNNNNNNNNNNNNNNNNNNNNNNNNNNNNNNNNNNNNNNNNNNNNNNNNNNNNNNNNNNNNNNNNNNNNNNNNNNNNNNNNNNNNNNNNNNNNNNNNNNNNNNNNNNNNNNNNNNNNNNNNNNNNNNNNNNNNNNNNNNNNNNNNNNNNNNNNNNNNNNNNNNNNNNNNNNNNNNNNNNNNNNNNNNNNNNNNNNNNNNNNNNNNNNNNNNNNNNNNNNNNNNNNNNNNNNNNNNNNNNNNNNNNNNNNNNNNNNNNNNNNNNNNNNNNNNNNNNNNNNNNNNNNNNNNNNNNNNNNNNNNNNNNNNNNNNNNNNNNNNNNNNNNNNNNNNNNNNNNNNNNNNNNNNNNNNNNNNNNNNNNNNNNNNNNNNNNNNNNNNNNNNNNNNNNNNNNNNNNNNNNNNNNNNNNNNNNNNNNNNNNNNNNNNNNNNNNNNNNNNNNNNNNNNNNNNNNNNNNNNNNNNNNNNNNNNNNNNNNNNNNNNNNNNNNNNNNNNNNNNNNNNNNNNNNNNNNNNNNNNNNNNNNNNNNNNNNNNNNNNNNNNNNNNNNNNNNNNNNNNNNNNNNNNNNNNNNNNNNNNNNNNNNNNNNNNNNNNNNNNNNNNNNNNNNNNNNNNNNNNNNNNNNNNNNNNNNNNNNNNNNNNNNNNNNNNNNNNNNNNNNNNNNNNNNNNNNNNNNNNNNNNNNNNNNNNNNNNNNNNNNNNNNNNNNNNNNNNNNNNNNNNNNNNNNNNNNNNNNNNNNNNNNNNNNNNNNNNNNNNNNNNNNNNNNNNNNNNNNNNNNNNNNNNNNNNNNNNNNNNNNNNNNNNNNNNNNNNNNNNNNNNNNNNNNNNNNNNNNNNNNNNNNNNNNNNNNNNNNNNNNNNNNNNNNNNNNNNNNNNNNNNNNNNNNNNNNNNNNNNNNNNNNNNNNNNNNNNNNNNNNNNNNNNNNNNNNNNNNNNNNNNNNNNNNNNNNNNNNNNNNNNNNNNNNNNNNNNNNNNNNNNNNNNNNNNNNNNNNNNNNNNNNNNNNNNNNNNNNNNNNNNNNNNNNNNNNNNNNNNNNNNNNNNNNNNNNNNNNNNNNNNNNNNNNNNNNNNNNNNNNNNNNUAUGACAUUUACUACAAAAUGUCAUUGGUUUUAGUGACAUUUAGAAAAAAUAUCGCUUAAAUAGUGACAUUUAAUAUAAAUGUCGAAUAUAUUAUGACAUUUACUGACAAAUGUCAUUGAUUUUAGUGACAUUUAGAAAAAAUGUUACUAAAAUAGUGACAUUUGUAGUAAAAUGUCAUUGAUUUUAGCGAUUUUUAGCAAAAUUGUUGCUAAAAUAGCGACAUUUCAUACAAUUGUCGAAUAUAUUACGACAUUUAUUGCAAAAUGUCAUUGAUUCGAUCGACAUAUAUAGUGAAAAUUUCCCUAAAACAGUGACAUUUUUAUACAAAUAUCAAAUAUAUUAUGUCAUUUGUUGAAAAAUGUCAUUGAUUUUUAUGACAUAUGAUGAAAAGUACUGUUAAACGACUACAACAUUUUAUGUCUACAACCACCCUAGAAAAGUGUGGCCUUUGAUAAAAGGCCACACUUUUUGACUUUAAGCCACGCUUUUCCAGGGGUGACCGAAAGAAGCAUAACCUUAGAGUUUAGGCGACACUUUUCAAGUGUUGCCUUAUCAGCUACGCUUAAAAGCGUAACCUAAAAGGCAAAAAGGCCACGCUUUGUAGUACCUCAUAUAGCUUAACAUUUCUAUCUCAUACAGCUACACUUUCAAGGGUGGCCUUUGCUUCCUUAUUGCCCACGAUUUUAAAGUGUUGCCUUUUCUAUCUUAUGUAUGACAACACUUUGAAGUGUAGUCCUUGCUCAUGUGCAUACCACAAUUUAUAGUUAUUUGGCUGCACUUUUAAGUGUGGUAAUAUUAUUUUUACUAUAAAAUAUUUAUAUGCCACAAUUUCUAAUUAAAAACAUCAAUAUUAUUUUGCAAUAAAUAAUCUCAAACACUAAAUUAGCUAAUAAGUAAUUCAAAUAUAUAGAUUUACAAUAAACUUCAAAAGAUAGUAUGCUAAUCAUUGUUGCCUUAAUCUGUGUGUCAUUUUUUAAAGUGGACAACUAAAUAGGGAUGGAAGGAGUAAUAAACAAUGACUAAGAAAGACUAAUUAAUUAUUUUUCUUGUUCUUUCCUCUAAUGGAGGACAGAUGGAAGAUUAAUAAAAUAUUAUUUAUCUUCUUAAAAGUUUUAGAGGCCCACUUAAUAAUUGCUACAAAACAAAGAUGCUAAUCAGCUAAAGGAUAUAUUGUAGAAUAAUAAUUUAUACUCCCUUCCUUCGUUUUUAUUUGUCCUAAUUUUACUUGACACACCCAUUAAGAAAAUAAUUAUUAAUAUAGAUAUUUUAUUAAAUUGUCCCUAUUAAACGAUGUUUAGUAUUAAGUAUUGGAAAGUGACUUGGAAAUAGAGUAUUUAAUAUUGAGGGUAAAAUAUGGAAAAAUAUAAUUGUCUUUUUAUGAUAUGUCAAAAGCAACAAAUAAAAUGAAAAUUUAUUUUAGGAAUAAGUGAAAGUGAACGGGAGAGUAUUAAUUUUAUCUACCCGAGUUAAGAGGUUCGAAUCAAUGAUUUCUUUAUCUUGUCUUUUUAGCAUUGCAAUUAGGGGUGUAUAAAAUCGAACCGAAAAUCGAACCAAGCCGCAAACCGAAAAAAAAACUUGACUAGUGGUUUGGUUUGACUUGAUUUGGUAUUGGAAAAAAAAACCCGACUAUAUUUGGGUUGAGUUGGUUUUAACUAAAAAAAACCAACCCGAGACCAAACCAACCCGACAUUUAUUAGUUUGGUUUGAUUUAUAAAUUUAAAAAUUCGACACAAUGGUUUGGUUUGGUAUUUGAAAAACCUGAAAAAAUCCGAAUUUUAUUAGUUUGGUUUGGUUUAUAAAUUUAAAUUUUUUACACAAAUGGUUUGAUUUGAUAUUUGAAAAACCCAAACCAAUCCGGUCAUGUACACCCCUAAUUGCAAUUAUAACUUGAUUAUGUGGAGUAUAGAUUUCAUAAGAAUAAUACUACUUGUUUAAUGUAGAAAAAAAAUAUAUGUUACUUAAUUCUAUGCAAAGCAUGUUAGCCCCAUAGAAUCGGGUAAUUUUGAUAAUGAAACACUUAAUCGACUUGUGACUUAUUGCAGGCAAAUAAGGAAAGAAAUGAGCCAAGCAUACAACACCUAAAUUAUGAACUAUGUCUAUUUGUAUAACAGAUGAAUGAAGAAUAUAAAAUGAUGCAACUUCAUUGUUUCAUUAUGGCCACUGGUAAUGGCUAAGAAAUGAUUUUUUCCCCCUCUGUUUCAAUUUGUUUGACCUAUUUUGACUUGACAUGAAAUUUAAAAAAGUAAAAAAGACUUUUGAAUCUUGUGGUCUUAAACAUGUCGUGUGGAAAGUUGAAGUUAAAGAGUUGCUAAAAAAAGAAAGGGUCAUUCUUUUUGAAACAGACUAAAAAGAAAAGUAAGUCAAACAAAUUAAACGGAGGAAGUAAUUGAAAGUCUAAACCUACUAAAAAGAAAAUUAGGUGAAGAGUCGGUGUCAUACCAAUUAGAUCAUUGAAAUAUCUCAUGAUUUACGGAAGAAAGUCAAACAAAUUAAACGGAGGAAGUAAUUGAAAGUCUAAACCUACUAAAAAGAAAAUUAGGUGAAGAGUCGGUGUCAUACCAAUUAGAUCAUUGAAAUAUCUCAUGAUUUACGGAAGAAAGUCCUCAUUUGCUGCUACCAAUUUCACCACUUUGUCAAACAUCAGUUAAUUGGCAAAGAAAAGUCAAAUAAGACAAAGUUAGAUAUAUUUUCUGAAAUGGUAAUCACGUAUAGAAAAACUAGUUAAUACAAAUUAAGUUUGUUCAAAAGUCUAUCACGUACCUUUUGUAACAACUUUGACAGAGCAGAAAACAGUGAUCCAGGUUUCACUACUUUGUUCUAUACUUUUUACCAAAAAGAGAUUUUAGGACUCCGGAGAGCAAAGUCCCGUACUUGCUUUCCUGACUAAAUAUUUUCACAUGUGUGUUAAUCAUGGAAGACUUUGAGAUCAGGAGAAGGCCAUUAUUGUCACUUAAUAUAAAGUAUAAUAAUGAAAUUAAAUUACACCUAAUGAAGAAUAAAAAAUGAUUCAACUUGAUUGUUGCAUUAUACCCCAAUACAUUGCAUUUCAUUAUGGCCACUUGUGAUGGUUAAGAAAUGGAAAAAAAAAAGACUUAGCUCUAAGGUCACGACUCGGUAUCAUAGUAGAUCAUUGACAUCCCACAUUACCUUUUCAUUACUACUAAAUACCAACUGCCUAUAUAGAAAAUUAGUUCACAGCCCUGCUUUUCGCCAACUUCAGAAUUUUGGAAAUAGAAAGGAGAGUUGACCUUACCUUAAUCAACGGAGUAUAUAAUAUUGAUCUUGGAGAAGUGUCUACGAAAUUUACCUUUUCGUAUGGUAGGAAAGAUGGUUUUUCUAUAUAUAUGUUCAUUUUUUCUUACACAACUCCAUAGCAGCCGUUUCUCUCUCUAAUUAGAUCAUUGAAAUAUCUCAUGAUUUACGGAAGAAAGUCCUCAUUUGCUGCUACCAAUUUCACCACUUUGUCAAACAUCAGUUAAUUGGCAAAGAAAAGUCAAAUAAGACAAAGUUAGAUAUUUUUUCUCAAACAUCAGUUAAUUGGCAAAGAAAAGUCAAAUAAGACAAAGUUAGAUAUUAUUAUUGUCAUUGAUUUCACUCAUAAUAUUAUUAGUAUAGAAAGCAGAAUGAGGUAUACCAGUCGUAUAAAAAAAUAGUCUGGUAAGAAAAAUAGAGCGUUAGCGAUCAUCUGUUAUCGGAACUAGCAAUAUGGAUCCUAACUCAUUAGCUCUUAAGCUAGCCAACUUGUAUAGGUGUUUCAGUACUAAUUCCCAUUUGAGAGAGAAUUUAAACUUGUUUGUUGAAUUAAUCCAACACAUUGACGCUGAAGCAAUAGUCCAUUGCAUUGAUAUAUUACACCCUAUGUUCCUAAACACGUUGAAUGAUUCCCUGGUUAAUCUAGACGUGAAGAUCACUGCCCUGACGGCGAUGAGUAACUUCAUUCAACAGGUGGGGAGUUCAAAAGAUAGGGAGAGGUUUCAGGAUCUGUUGCCUGCGAUGAUGGACAUGCUGAAUAAGGCAUUGGAAGAAAAUUGGGAGGCAUCAGCUCAGUCUGAGUUGGAGAUUUUGAUUGAGUUGGCCAAGAAUGAGCCUAGUUUCUUCAGGGUGCAGCUUGUGGUUGUGGUGGGUUCCAUGUUUGAUAUAGCUGAAUGUGAGAGUUAUGAAAAGAAAACGAGACAUUUGGCGGUUGAAUUCGUGAUGACAUUGGUUGAGGCCAGGGAGAAGACCCCUGGCAUGAUCAAGAAGUAUCCAUUGUUUACUGAAAAAUAUAUUGCAAUUUUAUUGAAUUUGUUAGAGCAUGAGGUUUAUUACCCUCUCUUGCCUGAUCCUUAUGAUAGAUGGGAUAUAAAUGAUGAUUUGCCUUUUCUUAAGAAGUGUUUAUGGCGGUUGUCCCAUGCGCUGGGUGGUAAGACUGUUGGUCCUGUUGCCUUUGAGCAGGUCCGUGCUUACUUGGCUGACGACUCGUGGCAGAAGCCAUGCGCAGCACUCUAUGCACUUGCUCAGAUUGUUGAAGGCUGCUCAGAGGUGUGUAUUUAUUGAUACACUACUAAGAAUUGCAUUUAAACUGAUUAGUUAACGAUCUUGGGAUAGCAGAAGGUCACCUUGAUUAUACUUUCUUCUGUUAUUCUCUAGACUAAGUACUUUGCUUGCUCUCAUCUCUUCUUCAUUAUAAUAGGUGAUGAUUAAGAAUAUGAAUCUAGUGGUGACAAUGGUUCUGGAUUGUAUGGGACAUCCUCAUCCUGGAGUCAGAUUCACCUCCAUGGAAGCAGUUCGCGAGUUUUUGAGUUUCAUGUGUCCCCAUUUUCAAGAACAAUAUCAUCAGCAAGUAGUGCCGGCAUUAAUUAAAGCUAUGGAUGAUGACAGUGUACAAGUGCAGGUCUGUUUGUCCUACGAUGAUAUGAAUUCCUUUGGAUGCUAGUAUCAUUUGUCCCAAAUUACAGUUGCAAAAUUUUCUUACUGAACCUUCUCAAUGGCCUUAACUUUAACUUUAUUAGAUAUAAUCCCUGCUCUAACUUUACUAUCUUCAUAUUUUCCUAGGUCAGCGUCAUAUGCGCGGUCACGGGCUUCCUUCGCGAUGACACACCUAAAUAUUUGACACUUUACAUCCAUGGAUUACUCGAUAAAUUGUUUCAACUGUCAUUACAUACUGUUGCGCUAGUACGUAUUGUAGACUAAGUGCAAGAGAAAUCAGAUCAUUUUCUUGAACAAUGAACAGACAAUAUUACGAAUACAUCAAGGGAAACAACCAUAAUUUCCAAGUUCCCAAUAUAAUUAUCCCGCCCUCCUUUAUAAAUUCAAAGUUUGUUACUCCCUUGAAUGUCCUUGAGGUCUUUACUUGCCUGAUUUAUUUUUAUUUUUGACAUGAAAGGUCCAAGAAUCAGCGUCAGCUGUACUCCAAUUUUUGGCUGACCAUUUUAAGGUAUUACCUAGUAAUUCUGCUUCAACUUUUAUUAAGAGUAUGUUGUAUUAAGCUGGUUAUAUAUAUAUAUAUAUAUAUAUUAAUAUUAACAUUACUUCAGCAAGAGUGCUAUGGGAACAACUACGAAUCUAUUCUACCACUUUUUAAAGCUAUCCUGGUACAAGCAAAUUUUCCAAGUAAAGAUGUAGAGAUGAUGAUGUCAUUCCUCAAACCUGGCCGUUCGUUACUUCCAAAACAGGUCUUCCACUAGUUAUACCAAAUGGAUUCUAUACAUCUCACUCAACUUAGAGCUUAUUGUUUAUUCGUUUUCUAUUUUUCUGUUGUUGACAUAAUGUCACUAUAAGAUUAUGGAAGCAGUUAUGUCAUUACAAGGAUCACAAGAGUUUGAUGAGGAUACAAAUACCAUCUUCAAGCUAGAGGUAUGUGUUGUUGAGAAUAUCGUUAACUAAUAAAAUGGUGUUCUCUCUAAUAGCUUAAGCUUUUAGAUGAGAUGGUCACACACUUCAACAUGUUAUCAGAACAGGCAGAGGCCCUGGGAUCAAAUCUCUUCGCCACCCAAAUUAAAAAGAAUUUCCACGUGCUAAUCAGUCAGAAAUUCUUUCAAGAUUGGUCUCUCUAUAUUUCUUGAUCUCAUUGCAGGCUAUUGGUGGAUUUUGUAAGGCCAUAGGGAAAGGUUUUCUUCCUUGCACCAGCAUUGUCAUGCCCCUUUUGUUGCAAUGUGCUCAACUCGAACCUGAUAAAAUCAUAUUAUCUCCAGAUUCAGACCAUACUUGUUUAGAUGAUAAUACGUACGCCUUUUUGUCAUGACGUUUCGCCUUUUUGUCAGAUCAUUGCUCUGAGUGAUUGCCUUUUUAUGUACAUUAUAACAUCUUGCAGUAUACACAGAGUCAAGGUUGGCGAUUCAACGAUAUGUAUAAAAAAAAGUUCCCUAAAGAAGAAAGCUAAAGCAUGUGAAGUCCUAGUCAUUGUUGCUAACAAAUUGAACAAAGACUUUUACCCAUGGAUUUUCCAGGUUGUCACACUUGGACUUCUCUCUUUUUCUACCCGUGCUUUUGAUCGCGAACUGAAAAUUUAACAAGUGGUUUCAAUGGCCUAAUGCUUGAUAAAUGAUACAGACUGCUUCAAUUUUAUUUCCACUUUUGAAAUUCCAUUUCAAUGAGGUCAGGUUCCAUACAGUUGAAGGUGAGAUUUCUCAGGAUUUCACAUAGUUAAUUUCUCCGUCUUUUAUAACUAUCUGAUCACCGCCAAGACUUUUUAAUUUGUAAUGUUUAUAGCGAUGAAGCACCUUUUGCAAUCUGCUAAACUGGCUGAUGAGAAAGGGAUUGCUCGAGGUGAAAGCCAUUCGGAUUUCAAGCAGUUUUCGGACAGUAUAAUACUGAAUUUGGUGGAAGCUUUGCAUGAGGUUUACUUUUAACAUUAAGCUUCUUCUAUUUGGAUAAUGAGAAAGUAACACUUUGAUUUCUAUAUAAUGCAGGAGCCUAAAACACUGCUUAUUUGUUUUGAAACAGAGAUAUAUGUAGAAAUGUUGAAUACAUUACAUGUGUGCCUUCAGGUUCGUGAUCUUUAAACACUGCUUAUUUGUUUUGAUCCAAAGUUUUCAGUGUUUCACUAUGAGCUAGGUAUGAAGUUUUUGGAACUGUUGCCUUUAAGUCUAUUGCUUAAAAUGUUCCAUUAGUAUCAUCGAAGUGAGAAACUAGCAAUGGUGACAAAAAUCGAGUUAGAAUGGCAAAAUAGGAAUUUUCAGGUUGUAUAUGGUCCUUGUGUUUCUUCUUUCAGAUAUGUGGACCACUUCUCAAUGAAGAUCAGCUUCGUCCGAUCGUGGAUGAGAUAAAGCAUGUCAUUACAGAGAGUUCAAAUAGCCAAGGAAAACUCACAGAGAGAGAAAAAACAGAAGAUUUUGAUGCUGAGGAAGCUGAAUUGCUGAGAGGGGAAAAACAUCGACAAGAUCAAAUAUUUAAACUUGUAUGUUCUAUAUUAAAACAGUGAUUCACUGUUGUCUUUAUAUAUUCAAGAAUUUUCACUUUGGUUCUGCUGUUAUUCUUGAACACAGGCUGGUCUCAUAUUAUGUAGACUGAUCGAAACAUUCAAGGUUGUUUUCUUGCCUUACUUUGACGAGUUAUCAUUAUAUCUGAUUCCGAUGUGGGUAAGUUCAUUGACACUAUUGUAACAUGAUGUUAGUUUAUCAUUAUUCAUAUCUAGUAUAUCUUAUUGUUUCCGAUUUUUGUUAAGGACAAAGAAAUGACAAUUCAAGAGAGAUGUACAUCACUUUAUAUCUUUGAUGGUCUUGUGAAGCAUUGCUCUGAAGCAGCUCUAAAGUGAGUUUAAUUUAUCUGUAUGAGUUUUCUUAAAUUAUUGGGGUGUCACCAUUUUGAUAAAUCACUUACUUCCUAUGCCAACUAGGUACUGUGAUGUAUUUCUACCUUUGCUUCUGAAAUCAAGCAACGACGAAAACCCAGCAGUUAGACAGGUUUGGAUCAUCGUGAUUGCUUACAUUCCUGUUACUCAAGUUGGUUGCUCACAGUAUGGUUUAACCAAAACACCAAUGACUUCAUGUUCAGAAUGCUCUAUAUGGACUUGGGCUUUAUGCAGAAUAUCAUGGUUCUGUUUUCAAACCUUUUGUUAGAGGUAUUAAUAUUAUUGAAUGUGAUACUUCUAAUCAAGCAAGUGUUUUUGUUAACUUACGCGUUUAUGUUCAGAGGCUAUGUCACGGAUCAAUGUAGUGAUAAUGCAUUUACGUGCUCGUGAACCUGAGAAUGAACUUGCAUAUGAUAAUGCUGUUUCUACCCUUGGUAAAAUAUUUCAGUUUCAUCGAGAACUUAUCGACUCAGCCCAGGUUUGUCCUUCUCAGAAUCCCUAAUGUUAAGUCUUGUUAUAAUUUCUGAUUCUGAAUCCUUGUGUAGGUCAUUCCCAUUUGGUUGAAUUGCCUGCCUAUAAAAGGUGACCUUCCUGAAGCCAAAUAUGUUCAUGGUCAACUAUGUUCCAUGGUUGAAAGGUAUUGGAUUUGUUUGCAAACUCUAAUAUGUCAUAUCUUCAUAGUCUUUAAAAUGUUUUAUAUCAAAUUUUUUCACUUGCAGGUCAGACAGAGAACUUUUAGGUCCCAAAUAUGAACACUUUCCAAAAAUUAUGUCAGUUUUUGCAGAGGUUAGUUCCAUAUCAGACUCUACAGAUGCCAGUUUGAGUUGUUCAUUUGUUCCUGAUAGAUAUUUAAGGAGAGAAGUAUUGGAAAUAUUCCUAAACUAGGUGUGAAUUAUUAGUUUUAUCUUCGAACUAUUGACAACCUUAAAAACACUUAUUUACUUGACUAACACCCAUGAUCUUGCAAUAUGAGUGAAAUACACUCCUAAAUUCUCUCAAGUUUAUGGGUGCUUUGAACACUUCUCUCGACUUUUUAUUAAGAGUUUCAUGUCUUUACAAGAGUGUAUGCAAUGUGGCAGAUCAGAUAUGUAUCUAAGUUUAAGCUAGUCAAGUAGAUGGGUGUUUUUAAAACUGUCACUAAUUUGGAGACGAAACUAAUAAUUUGUGCCAAGUUUAAGGAUGUUUUCAACACUUGUCUCGUAUUUAAUCAAUCAUGAGACAUUUUUGGACCAAACUAUUGACCUAAAGAUAUUUUUAUUCGAUGUUGUAUAGUUAAUUUAGUUUUGCUUUUUAAGGUUUUACGUGGUGGAAAACAUCUUGCUACAGAAGAAACAGCAAAGUGUAUGAUUAAUCUGUUGAGGAAACUUGAGAAAGAAGUAGCACCAGACACCUUGAUAUCUGCAUGGUCAUUACUAUUGCCUAAGCAGGAGAUGGAACUGAAAUCCAUUCUAUUUCCUGGCAUACUUAUAAACCACAAAACAUUUUUUGUGCUUGGCAGUAAUUUCUCAAUUGUCAAAUUUCUUGAGGAAGAACUCCAGAAAAAUAUUACUAAUGUUCGACGAAUGUGACUUAUAAACCGUGUAUUGUAUCUUUAAUUUAGUUUUGUUACAGAAUAAUGUAUAGAUGAUACUAUAGUUGAUUUGUGGGAAUUUGAAUAUUUAAUUACCAUAAUUAGACUAUUCUCACUUAUUUAUAUCUUUGUAUUCUUUGAGUAGUACUCCCUCCAUUUCUAUUUAUAUGUCGUCCUUUUCUAAGGAUAGAUAAUAUUUAAUAUUUGACAUUUCACAAAACCAAUACAUAAAUAAAACGAUUCUUUCUAUUUUUACCUUUAAAAGCUAUUAGCCUUGAAAGUAUGAAUUUGACCAAUAUAGGAAAACUAAAUGAUUAGAUCAUUUUCAUUGAUCAAUUUAAUUAAUCAAAAUAAAUUAAUUUAUAUUCAUUUGUUGAAACUUGACUUCAAGAGAUCACUAAAUAAGGAUACACCAGUCAAUUCACCUAGACGUGAAAUCUAAAAUUGUGGCAUAUAAAUAGAAGUGAGGGGGUAGAUAAGAAAUUUUAUGUAACUUCUCUUGUUUUCGUGGUAUCAGAGCCUAAGGGCUCAAAUCUUUAGAUUCUCUAAAACAAAAUUUCAAUAAGGGGUCUACAGUAUAAAUAAAAUUUUAAUAUUCAAACAUUUCAAUAUUAUUUAAAUUAAUUUACCUUAGAGAUUGACAUAAUUCGAAAACCAAAUACCGAAUAAAUAAUUCAUAAAACUGAAAUUAUCAUCGCCGGACCAGUGACCACUAGUACCUCCAAACAACUCAAAAACAAACUACCACCCGAUCACACCAAAUCGGUCGUUACAUGAAAUGAGACAUUUCAUGGUAACGAUGGAUCUAAAUGAUACAAUACAAUAAAAUUUAAGUAACAAUCAACAUAAGUAUUGUAUUUAAACUAACUAUACAAUAUAAUGGGUAACAACCAUCCAAACAAGGUGUUAAUGUAAAAGCAUACAGAAUAUCAUAUAAUAAAGUUCAUAUAUCAAUGCAAUGGAUCCAUUGAAAGAAAGUAUUUUGAAGUACACACAAAACUCAAAAACAAGAAAAUUAUCCAUCUAGAUGGAUAUGAUUAUGCAUAAUGAACAGAGGAAACAGCUUAAGAGAAAAACUGGUCCAUUAGAUCCCCUCUUUCAAUCGCGAUCUUCUAUUUCUGCACAGCAAAGAAACACUUCUCAAAUAUAUUUUACGAAAGAUUUAACAGGUAAAAGUGUACAAGCUCAAAAUAUGAUGCAAUUAAUCUUGAGUCAGUUACCUGUUAAACCAGUGUUGCAGUUUUUUAUAUGCAAGGGGUAAAUAAGGACCUUGAGCUCUGCAUUUCCAUAUUCUUCUUGCACUUCUUGAAUGUCCUUGACUGACUUUUCAAGAGACUCACCACAUCGUUUCACUUCAACUAUCUUUAGAGUAGGAAUAUCUCCAAUCAUAGAAGGAAUUUCUUGAAGAUUAAAGCAGUUUUCUACCAGAAGCUGUUUGAGGUUAAGCAAGGACUCAUUUGAGGCAUUCCAUGUUGUUAUUUUAAGGGAACUUAAUUUAAGAACCUUGAGGUUCAGAAACUCUUCAUCUUCGAUCUCCCAUUUGUCCUGCUGAAAUGCUCUAUGUUCCAACUUGAGAACCACUAAAUUUGGUAAUCUUCCGAUAUUAGACAGUUCACUUUGUGGCAACAAAACAUCUGAUAGAGUUAGCUUUGUUAGUGUCGCGGGCAAGGUGAAAUUCAAAAUCUUACCAUUUACACUGAGUGUUUCAAGUUGAAGAGCAUCUAAUUUGAGUUUGAGAGGCUCUUUACAGUGGCAUUUGAGCUUUCGCAGUCUGCUUGCCUUCUUGACCAUGUAGUCUACUAGCUCAUUAGUGAGAGACACUGUGGCCAAAGUCUCUAUGUUUGUCGAUGUCUGAGGAAUGCGUCCAUCAAAAGAUGCAACAGGUUCAACAUGUACAUGCUUUAGCCUUGGCAUAUUCCAGAUGGUCAUCGGUAAAAUUGUGCCACUGCCUACUGUUAUUACAAGCAAUACCUCUAGGUUUGAAAGGUUCGAUAUCCAUAAUGGCAUAGAUACCAUAUAGCCUUUGAUUCCUAAGUACUUCAAAUGGAUCAGCUCUUUUGAUCUCUGGAAUGAACUGUCUGACAUAGGACAUUCCAUUUGUAGUACUUUUAAUAGUUUAAAGUUCUCGAGAUCAAGAAAUUCCUGGCAGCCAGAUUUCGGGGGUCUGAAGAAUGCAGAUCGAACUUGCAUGUUUCCAAUCUUCCCUGCCCAAUAAAGGCUAUGAUGAAUGCAAAGCCUCCGGUGCUCAUAAAAGGAACUAGACAAAUCAGUCUUCCCGGUGCUUGUUAGUUGCAUAAACUUCUCUUCCUUAGACUUUGUCAUGCAAAAAUCAUGUAACAUAUCAUGAAUGUGGCAUGUUCUGACUCCUCCAGUGGACUUUCUCUUGCUCACCAUUAUCAAGCUUCUACCAAUGAGAUCAUUCAGUAAACUUUCUACAGCAAGGUGUAUACUUUCUACCUCUAUGUUUGGCACCAAUCCCUCAAUAGUCCAUAACCACUCCAAGUUCGAGAGUGGAAUUUCUUCAUCCUUUUGAAAUGAUGCAAAAUAUAGAAGGCAGGGUUUGAGAUGAUCAGGCAAGUGCUUGUAGCUCAGUUCUAUAACCUCCAUGCACUCUUUUGCACUAGUAACAGUAUCUAACUUUAUACUUUCUGCGAUUCUUCUCUAAUUUUCCUCAUUUUUGCUUAUCCCAGACAAAACUCCAGCAACCAAAAUCACAAGGAGAGGUAGUCCUUUACACUUACUCGCGAUGUUUGCUCCACUUUUGAUAGGUCUGGUGGGCAAGUUUGUUCCUUGAACAGCUUGAUUCUCAUUAGUUCCCAACUUUCAUUUUCGUCAAGGAAACGAAGGUGAAGAGGUUCUCUAUCAGGGUUAAUUUCUGAAGCCACAUCGCUGAGUCUGCUAGUUAAUAAAAUCCUGCUUCCGUUAUUAUCAUCCGGGAAGCAUCCUCUCAAGUCAUCCCAUGUGUCAACACUCCAAAUGUCAUCAAUGUAGAGAAGGUACCUCUUCUUUUUUAAGAAUUUCUGCAAAGCAUCUGCUGGAUUUGACUCAUUCUGUUGAUUGGAACUUUUAACUUGAUUCAAAAUUUCAAGCAGCAACUUUCUCCUGUCAUAAGCUUGGGAAACACAACACUUAGCUUUGACAUCGAAAUGACGCCGCAUUUUCUCAUCAUGAAAAACUUUCUUUGCUAGUGUAGUUUUUCCAAGACCAGGCAUCCCUACGAUAGACACAACAUCCAAGUACUUUGGUCCUCUAGUGAGCCAGUUGAUUAGCAAGUCAAUCUCGUCCUUAAAACCCACCAUUACCUCAUCAAGUUGUGUAGUCUCAACUACUUGUCUGACAGGAUUUGGUGUUUGUUCUUCAAUAGGGACUUCAACUUCUCGCGUAAUCGUAGCAUGGAACUCUUUCAAAUGAUUCCUUACAACCUUAGUUUCUGUUGUGAUCUUACAUAACAAAUGUAGAUACCAAACAGGAUAAUCUCCGGUAACCAGGCAAUCAAUUAUGCAUUCUGCCUGGUAUGCUAGAGAUAUGACUUCUGUCCAUAGAUCAUGUUUCUUCACCUCCUCAAACUCAUGUUUUUUCUUCUCAACUUCCUUCAAGAAGUCUCGUACGAGACAUAACUCUUCCUGAGCUUCUUCAAUAAGAUGCUUGACAACAGAAUCACACUUUCCGUCUUGCAGCAGCUCUUCCAGAUAGCGUAAGAGGGAAUCGAUAAACCCCAAUCCAUUUGUCCUAGGAAAAUUACAUUUUGAUGACACUACAUCUUUCAGAAUCACAUCUUUUAGAUCUUCCAUGACAUGUUCAAUCUUUUUAACAAGUCACUGAAUACCGAGUUAACUUCUGCUGCUUUGUCAACGGAGAAAGAGAAAGCAGCAGAUACUACCUCAGCAAUCAGACCUUCAAUGCAAGUAAGUUUGUCACUCAUUUUUUCCUGGAUAACAUAUAAAUCUUCUGGUGGACAAAUGAGCAAAGUUACCAAUUGCUUUGAUGCUUCGGCAAGGCUUUUGAUUUGAUCCUUUUUAAGAGGAAGCAUCAAAGAACAUGCCUCACCGUCUGAUAACUCCAACAAAUCCUUGAAGAUGAAAUGAACAAAACCUUCAACAAAUUCUAUCACAUCCCGGCUGUAUUGGAUUUGCAAUUUAACUGAACCUCUUAGAGCUCCAGUAUAGAUUUCUGCAAUGUGCGGAUCAAUGGGCUUGAUAUCUUUCAAAACAUGAGAGAUUUGNNNNNNNNNNNNNNNNNNNNNNNNNNNNNNNNNNNNNNNNNNNNNNNNNNNNNNNNNNNNNNNNNNNNNNNNNNNNNNNNNNNNNNNNNNNNNNNNNNNNNNNNNNNNNNNNNNNNNNNNNNNNNNNNNNNNNNNNNNNNNNNNNNNNNNNNNNNNNNNNNNNNNNNNNNNNNNNNNNNNNNNNNNNNNNNNNNNNNNNNNNNNNNNNNNNNNNNNNNNNNNNNNNNNNNNNNNNNNNNNNNNNNNNNNNNNNNNNNNNNNNNNNNNNNNNNNNNNNNNNNNNNNNNNNNNNNNNNNNNNNNNNNNNNNNNNNNNNNNNNNNNNNNNNNNNNNUGGGCUGCAUAAAUUUGGUAAAGGCCACCUCCCUGGAACCAAUGAAAGGAGAAACUCAUAACCUUCUUUGACUUCAGCAGAAGAUAAGUCUGCCCUUGGUCCCGAGACAGUGUCACCGACUUGCAUUCCAUGUCUGCACAAUCUCCCCUCCUUAAUCCUUCCUUUUUCAUUUGCCCAAUACAAGAAAGUACCAAAAAAUCUCCUCUCUAUUUCAGACAUUUGUUUUCCAGCAGAAUUUCCUCAGAGUGGAUAUAUGUCGACAGCUCUGCAAGCAAAGAGAUUAAAAGCAAAUCACAUUCUAGGACAAACAAUGCAUACUCCAACUCUACACCAGCAAAACUCUGGUACCAUAAUCUAGCUGCUCUUCAUAUUGCGUCAAAUCCGGUGUAUCAUGAAAAAACUAAACAUAUUGAGGUUGAUUGCCAUUUUAUUCGCGAGAAGAUUCCGGAAAACAUGAUUUCCACUGGCUACGUGAAGAGAGGAGGGCAACUAGCUGAUUCUGUUCACAAAAAUGUUGAAUGGAACUCGAGUUGAUUAUCUUUGUAACAAGCUACUAUAAAGCUAUAUGUUUUCUUGUAUAUAAUAUUCUAGCUGAUUUCUAGGGAUUCAGAUAUCUAGUUACCUUAGUUAGCCUUUUCUUUACGUGUACUUAAAUCAGUGUAUUCUUUGGAUAAUAUACAAAUACAAGCUAUACUCUUAAACUUCAUUCUUUGAUAUAUAACAAUAGCUGAUUGCAUUAUGUCUGCAUUCAAAAUUAUGUAGCAAAAGAUGCAAGAAUUAAUACAAAUUAAGUUUGUUAUAAAAGUCUAUCACAUACCUUUUUAACAACUUUGGCAGAGCAGAAAGCAGUGAUCUAGGGUUCAUCAAUUUGUUCCACAAUUUUAACCAAAAACAACUAAAGUGGACUUGCUUUUAUAUGUGUGUUAAUCAUGGAAUACUUUUGAGAUUACUUAAUAUAAAGUAUAAUGAAACUAAAAAUUACAGAUAAAUGAAGACUAUAAAAUGAUGCAGCUUGAUUGUUUCAUUCUGGCCACUGGUAAUGGAUAAGAAAUGAUUUGUUUUCCUCUGUUUCAAUUUGUUUGGCCUAUUUUGAUAUGACGUGAAGUUGUAGAAAGUGAAAAAGACUUUUGAAUCUUAUGGUCUUAAACAUGUCGUGUGGAAAGUUGAAGUUAAAGAGUCGCUAAAAAAAGAAAGGGUCGUUCUUUUUUAAACAGACUAAAAAAAAAAAAGUAGGUUAAACAUAUUAAAACGGAGGAAGUAAUUGAAAGUCUGAACCUACUAAAAAGAAAAGUAGGUCAUGAGUCGGUAUCAUAUUAAUUAGAUCAUUGAAAUAUCUCAUGAUUUACGGAAGAAAGUCCUCAUUUGCUGCUACCAAUUUCACCACUUUGUCAAACAUCAUUUAAUUGGCAAAGAAAAGUCAAAUAAGACAUUUGCAAGUUAGAUAUUAUUCUUGUCAUUGAUUUCACUCAUGAAAUUAUUCGUGUUAGAAAGCAGAAUGAGGUAUACCAUAUAGACUGUAUAAAAAAAUAGUCUGAUAAAAAAAAUAGAGCGUUAGCGAUCAUCUCUUAUCGGAAAAGGUCGGAAUCUAAGUCAAUGAUGAAGCAGAAGGAUCCUAACUCAUUAGCUCUUAAGCUAGCCAAGUCUCUUGGCUCUGAUCAGCUAGCUGCUGCACUUCAUCCUGACAACAAUUGGCCUAAAUUAUUACUCCCUCCGUCCCAUUUUAUGUGGCAACAUUUGACCGGGCACGGAGUUUAAUAAAUAGAUAAAGACUUUGAAAUGUUUAUCAAAUUGCCCUUCAAAAAAAUAGAUAUAUUUUUCUCUCUCCUAAUAAAUGUAUUGGAGUACUCUUUUCAAGAUUAAGUGGGACCAACAAGGGUAAAAGAGAAAUUAUACCUUUAAAUACUUACCAAAUAAGGAAAUGUGACAUUCUUUUUGAGACUGACCAAAAAGGAAAUGUUGCCACAUAAAAUGGGACGGAGGGAGUACCAAUCUUUUAUAGGUGUUUCAGUACUCACUACAAGAAAAUGUACAUACGACAUUAAUUUAGUGACAUUUGAAAUAAAUGUUGGAAAAUAAAGAAUUUUACGAUAUUUAGGAACAAAAUGUCAUAAAACAAUGACAUUUGAUGUCAAAUGUCGUAAAAAUAAUGACAUUUGGUAUCAAAUAUCAUAAAAAUAAUAACAUUUGGUCCAAAAUGUACUAUGAUAAUGACAUUUAUUGCAAAAUAUCGUUGUUUUUAGCGACAUUUAGCAAAAAUGUCAUUUAAAUGAUGACAUUUGCUACAAAUGUCGAAUAUAAUAUGACAUUUAUUACAAAAUGUCAUUGGUUUUAGUGACAUUUAGAAAAAAUAUCGCUUAAAUAGUGACAUUUAAUAUAAAUGUCGAAUAUAUUAUGACAUUUACUGCAAAAGGUCAUUGAUUUUUAGUGACAUUUAGAAAAAAUGUCACUAAAAUAGUGACAUUUGUUGUAAAAUGUCAUUGAUUUUAGCGACUUUUAGCAAAAGUGUUGCUAAAGAAGCGACAUUUAAUACAAAUGUUGAAUAUAUUACACUAGUAGAAUUUCGUUUGCAAAAUUGUUGCUAAAAUAGUGACAUUUCAUACAAUUAUCGAAUAUAUUAUGACAUUUAUUGCAAAAUGUCAUUGAUUCGAUCGACAUAUAGUGAAAAUUUCGCUAAAACAGUGACAUUUUUAUACAAAUAUCGAAUAUAUUAUGUCAUAUGUUGAAAAAUGUCAUUGAUUUUUAUGACAUAUGAUGAAAAGUACUGUUAAACGACUACAACAUUUUAUGUCUACAACCACCCUAGAAAAGUGUAGCCUUUGAUAAAAGGCCACACUUUUUGACUUUAAGCCACGCUUUUCCAGGGGUGGCCGAAAGAAGCAUAACCUUAGAGUUUAGGCGACACUUUUCAAGUGUUGCCUUAACAGCUACGCUUAAAAGCAUAGCCUAAAAGGCAGAAAGGCCACGCUUUGCAGUACCUCAUAUAGCUUAACAUUUCUAUCUCAUACAACUACACUUUCAAGGGUGGCCUUUGCUUCCUUAUUGCCCACGAUUUUAAAGUGUUGCCUUUUCUAUCUUAUGUAUGACAACACUUUGAAGUGUAGUCCUUGCUCAUGUGCAUACCACAAUUUACAGUUAUUUGGCUGCACUUUUAAGUAUGGUAAUAUUAUUUUUACUAUAAAAUAUUUAUAUGCCACAAUUUCUAAUUAAAAAACAUCAAUAUUAUUUUGCAAUAAAUAAUCUCAAACACUAAAUUAGCUAAUAAGUAAUUCAAAUAUAUAGAUUUGUAAUAAACUUCAAAAGAUAGUAUGUCUUGUGUACAUACACAUACUUGUUUGACAGAGAAUUUAAACUAGUUUGUUGAAUUAAUCCAACACAUUGACACUGAAGCAAUAGUCCAUUACAUUGAUAUAUUACACCCUAUAUUCCUAAACACGUUGAAUGGUUCCCUGUAUCUAGACGUGAAAAUAUCCAUUAUGAUGUAUUCAAAUUGUCUCAUUGAACUAACUACAUAUCUGAAGCUGUCUCACUGCCAGCAAAAUGUGUACCUUGUACUCUUUGCUUCAAGUAGUAUGAACCAUGUCUAUUUGACCCUAUAAGUAAUAUGAACUAUGUCUAUUUGUAUAAUUUUCACUCGAACCCUAAAGUACUUAGGUCCAAUAAACACAUUCAUCCUAUGUGGUGUCCUGUAUGAUAAUUUUGUGUCCUAUGUGACGUCCUACAUGUAUUAUGUUGUAGGACGUAUGAGUCAACUUGUUCAAUUUUAUACAAGUUGAAGUGUCUAUUUGUGCAUGCCAAAAAUUGAAGGACAUAUAUGUCAGAUGAAUUCAAAUUUAAAAACAUAUUUAUGUAUUAUGUCAAAUAUUAAUCUAAAGACAUCACAAAUAUGGCCGUGUAAGAUGGUAAUCGAUCCGUUAUACCAACACCAAAUGAACAGAAGGACAAAUUUAGAUGUGCAUGAAAUACUUUUAAUUAAUGGUGAAAGAUAUAUACAAGUGAGUAAGCAUACAUGUGAUCUACACUCUAACCAAAAAGAGCAAUUAUUUUUUGUUGUUGUCAAAAUUAAUCCUCCAAUAAUUCCUUUCAUCUUCAAAAAUUACUUUCACUUUGCAAUUUUUUUCUUGUCUUCAAAGCAUACUGCUUAAAAAUAUAGAGAGAAGAGCUAGUAUUGAUCACUUUGCUAUAGUCUGUCUAUAGUUUCUUUCAAUUGAGUACUAAACAAUGACUAAAUGUUCUUCUCUUCAUUUUUAAUUGCACUUAAUAGGUACUAUUUCCUAAUUAUUUGGCCACAUUUCCUUUUUUAAUUAUCCCUAAUUAUUUGUUCAUUUUGAUAAAUCAAGAAAUGACAAUUUUUUACCUAUUAUACCCUCAAUUAAUUACAUUGAAAAAUGUAGAACUUUUUGAAAAUCUUAAGUUUUUAUUCAUCAACUUCAUAAUUAAUAAGGGUAAAAUGGUAAACUCACUAUAUCAAUUAUUGUUUUCGUAAUAGACGUGUCAAUUCAAAAGUGGACAAGUAAUUAGGAACAUAGUACUCCUUCCGUCCGAAUUUAGUUGUCCAUAUUUCUUCUUUUAGUUGUCCCUAUUUAGUUGUCCAUUUUGACAAAUCAAAAAAGGAUAACAAAUUUUUUCCUAUUAUACCCUUAUUUAAAUGAAGUUGUCAUAAAUAAAGUAAAUAAACUUAUGAACUUCCCAACAUUGAUUAGUUAUCUUGAGUGAAUUUAUUUUGAAAUUGUAAAUUGUACUAUAAGGGUAAAAUUGUAACUUCACUAUGCUAAUCAUUGUUGCCUUAAUCUGUGUGUCAUUUCUAAAGUGGACAACUAAAUAGGGACGAGUAAUAAACGAUGACCAAGAAAGAAUAAUUAAUUAUUUUUCUUGUUUUUUCCUCUAAUGGAGGACAGAUGGAAGAUUAAUAAAAUAUUAUUUAUCUUCUUAAAGUUUAGAGGCCCACUUAAUAAUUGCUACAAAACAAAGAUGCUAAUCAGCUAAAGGAUAUAUUGUAGAAUAAUAAUUUAUACUCCCUUUGUUCGCUUUUAUUUGUCCUAAUUUUACUUGACACACCCAUUAAAAAAAUAAUUAUUAAUAUAGGUAUUUUAUUAAAUUGUCCCUAUUAAACGAUGUUUAGUAUUAAGUAUUGGAAAGUGACUUGGAAAUAGAGUAUUUAAUAUUGAGGGUAAAAUAUGGAAAAAUAUAAUUGUCUUUUUAUGAUAUGUCAAAAGUAACAAAUAAAAUGAAAAUUUAUUUUAGGAAUAAGUGAAAGUGAACGAGAGUAUUAAUUUUAUCUACCCGAGUUAAGAGGUUCAAAUCAAUGAUUUCUUUAUCUUGUCUUUUUAGCAUUGCAAUUAGGGGUGUAUAAAAUCGAACCGAAAAUCGAAUCAAGCCGUAAAUCAAAAAAAAAACCUGACUAGUGGUUUGGUUUGACUUGGUUUGGUAUUGGAAAAAAAAAUCCGACUAUAUUUGGGUUGGGUUGGGUUGGUUUUAACUUAAAAAAAACCAACCCGAGACCAAACCAACCCGACAUUAUAUAUGUAAUUUUAAAAUUUUAUUUUAUACAUAAAAAUAUUUACUUUGAUAUAAUUUUAAAAUAUUUCUUAUACUAUUUCAUAGUUUUUAUCUUUUAAUAUAUUAUUUCAAGUUUAAAACUUAGAAUUCGGAAUGGUCCAAUAAAGAUUAUAGUUCAUAGAUGUUGAUAAUUAUAAUUAAAUUUAAAUCAAAAUCAAAUUAAUACUAAUGCAAAAAGAAAAUCAAUUCAACACUAAGAAUGACAAUAAUAUUGAAUAUUUGUUCUUUAGUUUUACAUUGGUUUAGACAAUUAAAAUACAUAAUCUAAUUUUAAUUUUCCUUAAAUAUUUAGUAAUGUAACUAAUACUUAUUAAACUUAUUUUAGCAUGAUUUAGUACUUUUAAAUUAUGAUCAUUUUCAUUAUGACUUUGCAAUAUUUAUUUUAUAUAAUGAUUUCAUUAUUAUUUAUUAUUGAAUAUUUUUGUUCACCAGUACUCAUCUCAUAUUUUGUGUUAUUUUUUUUUUAAGAAAUACCUUAGAUAAUUGUAUUUUGGUUGGACUAAAGAAAUAUUUGGAGCACAAGUUAAUUAUGAAAUAUGUCUAUUUGUAUAACAGAUGAAUGAAGAAUAUAAAAUGAUGCAACUUCAUUGUUUCAUUAUGGCCACUGGUAAUGGCUAAGAAAUGAUUUUUUCCCCCUUUGUUUCAAUUUGUUUGACCUACUUUGACUUGACAUGAAAUUUAAGAAAAUAAAAAAGAUUUUUAAAUCUUGUGGUCUUAAACAUGUCGUGUGAAAAGUUGAAGUUAAAGAGUUGCUAAAAAAAGAUAGGGUCAUUCUUUUUUAAACAGAUUAAAAAGAAAAGUAAGUCAAAUAAAUUAAACGGAGGAAGUAAUUGAAAGUCUAAACCUACUAAAAAGAAAAUUAGGUCAAGAGUCGGUGUCAUACUAAUUAGAUCAUUGAAAUAUCUCAUGAUUUACAGAAGAAAGUCCUCAUUUGCUGCUACCAAUUUCACCACUUUGUCAAACAUCAUUUAAUUGGCAAAGAAAAGUCAAAUAAGACAAAGUUAAACAUUAUUCUUGUCAUUGAUUUCACUCAUGAUAUUAUUCGUAUUAGAAAGCAGAAUGAUGUAUAUCAUAGGCUGUAUAAAAAAUAGUUUGGUAAGAAAAAUAGAUUUUUAGCGAUCAUCUGUUAUCGGAACUAGCAAUAUGGAUCCUAACUCAUUAGCUCUUAAGCUAGCCAACUUGUAUAGGUGUUUCAGUACUAAUUCCCAUUUGACAGAGAAUUUAAACUUGUUUGUUGAAUUAAUCCAACAUAUUGACGCUGAAGCAAUAGUCCAUUACAUUGAUAUAUUACACCCUAUGUUCCUAAACACGUUGAAUGAUUCCCUGGCUAAUCUAGACGUGAAGAUCACUGCCCUGACGGCGAUGAGUAACUUCAUUCAACAGGUGGGGAGUUCAAAAGAUAGGGAGAGGUUUCAGGAUCUGUUGCCUGCGAUGAUGGACAUGCUGAAUAAGGCAUUGGAAGAAAAUUGUGAGGCAUCAGCUCAGUCUGAGUUGGAGAUUUUGAUUGAGUUGGCCAAGAAUGAGCCUAGCUUCUUCAGGAUGCAGCUUGUGGUUGUGGUGGGUUCCAUGUUUGAUAUAGCUGAAUGCGAGAGUUAUGAAAAGAAAACGAGACGUUUGGCGGUUGAAUUCGUGAUGACAUUGGUUGAGGCCAGGGAGAAGACCCCUGGCAUGAUCAAGAAGUAUCCAUUGUUUACUGAAAAAUAUUUUGCAAUUUUAUUGAAUUUGUUAGAGGAUGAGGUUUAUGACCCUCUCUUGCCUGAUCCUUAUGAUAAAUGGGAUAACAAUUAUGAUUUCCUUUUUCUUAAGAUGUGUUUAAGGCGGUUGUCCAAUGCGCUGGGUGGUAAGACUGUUGUUCCUGUUGCCUUUGAGCAGCUCCGUGCUCACUUGGCUGACGACUCGUGGCAGAAGCCAUGCGCAGCACUCUAUGCACUUGCUCAGAUUGUUGAAGGCUGCUCAGAGGUGUGUAUUUAUUGAUACACUACUAAGAAUUGCAUUUAAACUGAUUAGUUAACGAUCUUGGGAUAGCAGAAGGUCACCUUGAUUAUACUUUCUUCUGUUAUUCUCUAGACUAAGUACUUUGCUUGCUCUCAUCUCUUCUUCAUUAUAAUAGGUGAUGAUUAAGAAUAUGAAUCUAGUGGUGACAAUGGUUCUGGAUUGUAUGGGACAUCCUCAUCCUGGAGUUAGAUUCGCCUCCAUGGAAGCAAUUCGCGAGUUUUUGAGUUUCAUGCGUCCCCAUUUUCAAGAACAAUGUCAUCACCAAGUAGUGCCGGCAUUAAUUAAAGCUAUGGAUGAUGAGAGUGUACAAGUGCAGGUCUGUAUGUCCUACGAUGAUAUGAACUCCUUUGGAUGCUAGUAUCAUAUGUCCCAAAUUACAGUUGCGAAAUUUUCUUACUGAACCUUCUCAAUGGGCUUAACUUUAACUUUAUUAGAUUUAAUCCCUGCUCUAACUUUACUAUCUUCAUAUUUUCCUAGGUCAGUGUCAUACGCACGGUCUGGCACUUCCUUCACGUUCGCACGCCUGAAUAUUUGACACUUUACAUCCAUGGAUUACACAAUAAAUUGCUUCAACUGUCGUCACAUACUGUUGCGGUGGUACGUAUUGUAGACUAAGUGCAAGAGAAAUCAGAUCAUUUUCUUGAACAAUGAACAGACAAUAUUACGAAUACAUUAAGGGAAACAACCAUAAUUUCCAAGUUCCCAAUAUAAUUAUCCCGCCCUCCUUUAUAAAUUCAAAGUUUGUUACUCCCUUGAAUGUCCUUGAGGUCUCUACUUGCCUGAUUUAUUUUUGUUUUUGACAUGAAAGGUCCAAAAAUCAGCGUCAACUGUACUCAAUUGUUUGGGUGAGCAUUUUGAGGUAUUACCUAGUAAUUCUGCUUCAACUUUUAUUAAGAGUAUGUUGUAUUAAGCUGGUUUUAUAUUUCUAUUAAUAUUAACAUUACUUCAACAGGAGUUCUAUGGGAACAACUACGAAUCUAAUAAACCACUUUUGAAAGCUUCACUGGUAGAAGCAAAUUUUCCAAGUAAAGAUGUAGAGAUGAUCAUGUCAGUGUACGAACCUGGCAGUUCGGUACUUCCAAAACAGGUCUUCCACCAGUUAUACCAAAUGGAUUCUAUACAUCUCACUGAACUUAGAGCUUAUUGUUUAUUCGUUUUCUAUUUUUCUGUUGUUGACAUAAUGUCACUAUAAGAUUAUGGAAGCAGUUAUGUCAUUACAAGGAUCACAAGAGGAUGAUGAGGAUACAAAUACCAUCUACAAGCUAAUGGUAUGUGUUGUUGAGAAUAUCGUUAACUAAUAAAAUGGUGUUCUCUCUAAUAGCUUAAGCUUUUAGAUGAGAUGGUCACACACUUCAACAUGUUAUCAGAACAGGCAGAGGCCCUGGGAUCAAAUCUCUUCGCCACCCAAAUUAAAAAGAAUUUCCACGUGCUAAUCAGUCAGAAAUUCUUUCAAGAUUGGUCUUUCUAUAUUUCUUGAUCUCAUUCCAGGUUGUCACACUUGGACUUCUCUCUUUUUCUUUCUUUCUACCCGUGAUUUUGAUCGCGAACUGAAAAUUUAACAAGUGGUUUCAAUGGCCUAAUGCUUGAUAAAUGAUACAGACUGCUUCAAUUUUAUUUCCACUUUUGAAAUUCCAUUUCAAAGGGGUCAGGUUCCAUACAGUUUGAAGGUGAGAUUUCUCAGGAUUUCACAUAGUUAAUUUCUACCGUCUUUUAUAACUAUCUGAUCAACUCCAAGACUUUUUAAUUUGUAAUGUUUAUAGCGAUGAAGCACAUUUUGCAAUCUGCUAAACUGGCUGAUGAGAAAGGGAUUGCUCCAGGUGAAAGCCAUUCGGAUUUCAAGCAGUUUUCAGACAGUAUAAUACUGAAUUUGGUGGAAGCUUUGCAUGAGGUUUACUUUUAACAUUAAGCUUCUUCUUUUUGGAUAAUGAGAAAGUAACACUUUGAUUUCUAUAUAAUGCAGGAGCUUGAAACAGAGAUAUAUGUACAUAUGUUGAAUACAUUACGACUGUGCCUUCAGGUUCGUGAUCUUUAAACACUGCUUAUUUGUUUUUGAUCCAAAGUUUUCAGUGUUUCACUAUGAGCUAGGUAUGAAGUUUUUUGGAACUGUUGCCUUUAAGUCUGUUGCUUAAAAUGUUCCAUUAGUAUCAUCAAAGUGAGAAAAUAGCAAUGGUGACAAGUCGAGUUAGAAUGGCAAAACAGGAUUUUUCAGGUUGUAUAUGGUCCUUGUGUUUCUUCUUUCAGAUAUGUGGUCCACUUCUCAAUAAAGACCAGCUUCGUCCGGUCGUGGAUGAGAUAAAGCAUGUCAUUACAGAAAAUUUAAAUAGCCAAGGAAAACUCAGAGAGAGAGAAAAAACAGAAGACUUUGAUGCUGAGGAAGCUGAAUUGCUGAGAGGGGAAAAACAGCGACAAGAUCAAAUAAUUUUCCUUGUAUGUUCUAUUUUAAAACAGGAACUAAAGUGAUACACUGUUGUCUAUAUAUUCAAGCAUUUUCGCUUUGUUUAUGCUGUUAUUCUUGAACAGGCUGGUCACAUAUUACGUAGACUUAUCGAAUCAUUCAAGGUUGUUUUCUUGCCUUACUUUGACGAGCUAUCAUUAUAUCUGAUUCCGAUGUGGGUAAGUUCAUUGACAUUAUUCUGACAUGACGUUAGUUUAUUUACUAUUAUUCAUAUCUAGGAUAUCUUACUGUUUCCGAUUUUGUUAAGGGAAAAGAAAUGACAAUUCAAGAGAAAUCUACAUCACUUUAUAUCUUUGAUAGUCUUGUGAAGGAGUGCUCUGAAGCAGCUCUAAAGUGAGUUUAAUUUGUCUGUAUGAGUUUCUGGUGUAUCACCAUUUUUAUAAAUUACUUACUUCUUAUGCCAACUUAGGUACUGUGAUGUAUUUCUACCUUUGCUUCUGAAAGCAAGCAAUGACGACAACCCGACAGUUAGACAGGUUUGGAUCAUAGUGAUUGUUUACAUUCCUGUUACUCAAGUUGGUUGCUCACAAUGACUUUAUGUUCAGAAAGCUUUAUAUGGACUUGGGCUUUAUGCAGAAUAUGAUGGUUCUGUUUUCCAACCUUAUGUUAGAGGUAUUAAUAUUGUUGAAUGUGAUACCUUCUAAUCAAGCAAGUGUUUUUGUUAACUUACGCGUUUAUGUUCAGAGGCUAUGUCACGGAUCAAUGUAGUGAUAAUGCAUUUACGUGCUCGUGAACCUGAGAAUGAACUUGCAUAUGAUAAUGCUGUUUCUACCCUUGGUAAAAUAUUUCAGUUUCAUCGAGAACUUAUCGACUCAGCCCAGGUUUGUCCUUCUCAGAAUCCCUAAUGUUAAGUCUUGUUAUAAUUUCUGAUUCUGAAUCCUUGUGUAGGUCAUUCCCAUUUGGUUGAAUUGCCUGCCUAUAAAAGGUGACCUUGCUGAAGCCAAAUAUGUUCAUGGUCAACUAUGUUCCAUGGUUGAAAGGUAUUGGAUUUGUUUGGAAACUCUAAUAUGUUAUAACUUUCAUAAAAUGCAGGAUUAUUUUAUCCAACGUUUUGUUGGAAAUAUUAUAUUAUCAUAAGACUAUUUAUUCCACCAUUUAUACCUUAAAAUGUGAUAAGUUAUUUCAUCCCGAAAUAGUUGAUGUCAGGAUAACUUAUUCCGAACCAAACCAUCCCUUAAUGAUUUAUCAAAUUUUCUCAAUUGCAGGUCAGAUAGAGAACUUUUGGGUACCAAUUAUGAACACUUCCCAAAAAUUAUGUCAGUUUUUGCAGAGGUUAGUUCCAUAUCAGAAUCUAUAGAUGCCAGUUUGAGUUGUUUAUUUGCUCAUGUUACAUAUUAAAUGAGAUAAAUAUUGAAAACAUAAUUAUUAAUUUCAUAAUCAAACUAUUAACAAUCUUAAAAACACUCAUUUCUUUGACUAACUAAACUUAAAUACACUCCCGAUCUUGCAACAUGACCAAAAUACAUCCCUAAUUUAAGGGUGCUUUCAACACUCCUCUAUGUAAUGUGGCAGAUCAGAGAUGUAUUUAAGUUUAAUCUGGUCAAGUAGAUAUGUGUUUUUAAGACUAUCAAUAAUUCAAGAACGAAACGAACAAUUUGUGUCAAGUUUAAGAGUGUUUUUGAAUCAAACUAAAGACAUUUUUUAUUCCAUUUUUAAGGUUAUAUGUGGUGGAAAACAUCUUGCUACAGAAGAAACAACAAAGUGUAUGAUUAAUCUGUUGAGGAAUCUUCUUAAAGAACUACCACCAGACACUUUGACAUCAGCAUGGUCAUUGAUAUUGCCUCAGCAAGAAAUGGAACUAAAAGCCAUUUUAUUUCCUGGAAUACUUCAUGUGGUACGUUUUCACAACAAAACAUUUUGUAUGCUUGACACUGAUACCAAUGAAAGCUCUCCCCCUUACUCUUUACCAUCCAAAAUUGUCAAACUUCUUGAGGAAGAACACCAGAAAAAUAGUAUUAUUGUUCCACAAAUGUAACUUAUAAACCAUAAAUUGUAUCUUUAAUUAAGUUUUGUAUCAUUUAAGUAUACAAGAUGAUACUAUAGUUGAUUUGUGGGGAAUUGAAUAUGUAAUUAUCAUUAAACUAUCUAUUUUAUAUCUUUUUUACGAUUUAUCUAUCCAUUUGGAAUUUCUUUAUUUUUAAUUUUUCAUAAGUUGAAAUUCAUAUUGUGGCAUAUAAUUUAAAUAAUUAUUUAUUCAAAUUAAACAAGUCAAACCUUAAGGACCUAAAAUCUAAACCUGACGGCAUAAACCAUAAACCUUGAGGGGUCGUUUGGUGUGAAAGAUAACUUUAAAUAGUCCUGCGAUUAAAUUAUAAUGUCACUAAAUUUGUUGUUUGAUUGGCAAUUUGGUGAUAAGUUAUCUCGUGAUUAAUAAUUAAUACAAGGAUAAAUUAUCCCUUCCCUUGGGUGGUACAAUAAUCCCGAGAAAACUUAUCACGAGAUAAAAUGACUAAAUGACAAAAAUAUCCCUUCAAACACUUUUUAUACAUUACUUUUCAUAUUCAUGAACGGUAUUUUUCUAAGCAUCAUAACUUGAAUUCAAACCAAACGACUGCACCUUAGAGCCCAAAAAAUAAACUCAAAAUCAUAAACUCUAAACCUUAAACCUUAGGCCUCAACCUUAAAAUCUAAACCAUAAACCCAAAACUCAAAAGCUUGGGGCCUAAAACCUAAGAUCUACGAUUUAUGGUUUAGGAUUUAGGAUUUAGACUCUAAAAUUUAUAUUCUAGGGGUUGUAGUUUAUCGUUUUGACUAUAAGAUUUAGGAUUUAAGAUUUAUAAUUUUAAGAGUUUAGGCCUUAUGGUUAAGUGUUUAGAGAUAAGAUUUAUAAUUCAUGUAUAAAUUAAAAUAUAGGGUUUAGGCCCAAGGUUCAUAUGGUUUUAUGAUUUAUCAAAAGCCAAUUUGAGGUCAAUUUUUAAGCACAAUUGAACCAAACCCAUUUGAACCCAAAAUAAAUUUGAACGGAUUGAUCAACUUCGUGUAUUUUUUUCUACACUUUUGACUCUUCAUCACCUUUCUACAAUUACAAUUGUUUCACAAAUCCUUUUUUUAAAAUCUUUCAAACAUAAUUAUAAAAAAUAUCUUAGUAAAUCCAUUCUAUUUCCUAAUCCCUUUCAUAAAACAAAUAAUCAAAAUAGCCUCAGAAGGAAGGCAGUAGUAUAGUCAUAAUCAUUAUUUUGACCAUUAACGCAAAACUACUCAUCAUCGGACAAAAAAAUAAUAAAUUAAAAGAAACAAAAAACAAUUAUUAUUGUAAUGCUUGAAAGUUUUGCAAUUUUCCUAAUUCAAAAUUAUUGACUAUCGAUUUUGAUAAUGUAUUUCCCAAAAUUGUUGUGUGAAAUACACGAGUAAAAUACAUCUGAACUCAAAAUUCAAAAUACAUUUCAAAACUCAAAAUUAAGAGUCAAAUUUGUGCAUAAAAUUUAGGACUUGAAAUCUAAACUCAAAAUUUGAAACCAUAUACCUUAGGGCAUAGAUCCUAAACCUUAAGAGCCUAAACUUUAAACAUUAUGUCCAAAAUUAUGAACCCUAAAUCUUGAACCUUAAAUCCCAAGUCAUAAACCCUAAAAUCUUAGAACUUAAACCCAAAACUCUAAACCUUAAAGCCUAAACCUUAAACCUUAAACCUUAAACCUUGAAAGCCUAAAUCUUAAUGUUUAGGAUUUAUGAUUUAUGGUUUUUGAUUUUAAAAUUUAAGAUUUAGAGUUCAGACAAUAUGGUUAAGAGUUUUAAGUUUUAUGAUAUAAGAUUUAGGCCUUAAAAUUUGAAGUUUAGAUUUUAACAAUUAGGCUCUAAAAACUUUAAGAUUAAAAAUACAGCAUUUGAACAUUAUAAUAAAUAAUUAUGUAGUACCCCAACGACCAAAUACACCACAAAAAUUAGAUGCAAAGGAUAGCGAGGGGAACAUUAUUAUAGCUUCACUUGCUAAAGUAUCACACUACAAAAAGUGAAAUCCACAAAAUAUAAUUAGCAAAAGCAUAGUACAAUUAACAACAUAUCCAAUAAAAUCACAGUAAAUUUAUGCAAAUCUUAUCAUUAUCUCGUAAAAAUAAAAAUAAAAUAUGAAAACUACUUAGUCCCUUAGAUGUUCAAUUAAUUGCGAUCAUCUUCGCAAAUCAUUACAGGUCUGUAACUGUAAAAAAUUAAUCAUCACUGUUGUUUCCAUUGAAUAAAAUAUAUAAAAAAAAUUUUGAUGAACAAACUCAGUCCCUUAGAUGUUCAAUUUGUUGCGAUCAUUUUCGCAUAUCAUUACAGGUCUGUAACUGUAAAAUAUUACUCAUCAUUGUUUAUUCAUCAAAAAAAUAUUCUGAAUUUUUUUUUUUUUAAAAAAAAGUUGUAGCUGCUCCAAUUGUUCUCCACAGAUUAAAUUAAAUGAGGAGAAAGAUGAAAAAGGAACAACACACUUAUAAUGCUUCAAGGGAACGAGUUGGUCAAAAAUAAAUUAUUUCUUGCCAACCAGAUUAAAGAAGCAUAUAACUCAAAAUAUAUACACAAAAAUAAUAAAUUUAUUUAGAGUUUAGAAGAUAUAUCACCAUUGUUGAAGAUUUCAAUCGGCAGCUGCAGAAGAGAGAAAUUGUUGUGUUUUGAAGUACACGCAAAACUCAAAAACAAGAAAAUUAUCCAUCUAGCUGGAUAUGAUUAUUAUGCAUAAUGAAUAAAGGAAACAGCUUAAGAGAAAAACUGGUCCGUUAGAUCUCCUCUUUCAAUCGCAAUCUUCUAUUUCUGCACAGCAAAGAAACACUUCUCAAAUAUAUUUUACGAAAGAUUUAACAGGUAAAAGUGUACAAGCUCAAAAUAUGAUGCAAUUAAUCUUGAGUCAGUUACCUGUUAAACCAGUGUUGCCGCUUUUUAUAUGCAAGGGGUAAAUAAGGACCUUGGGCUCUGCAUUUCCAUAUCCUUCUUGCACUUCUUUAAAGUCCUUAACUGAUUUUUCAAGAGACUCACCACAUCGUUUUACUUCAACCAUCUUUAGAUAAUGCAUAUGUCCAACCAUGGAAGGAAUUUCUCGAAGAUUAAAGCAGUUUUCUAUAAGAAUGUGUUCGAGGUUGGGAAAGGACUCAUCUGAUGCAUUCCAUGUUGUUAUUGUAAGGGAUCUUAAUUUAAGAACCUUGAGGUUCAGAAACUCUUCAUCUUCGAUCUCCCAUUUGUCCUGCUGAAAUACUCUAUGUUCCAACUUCAGAACCACUAAAUUUGGUAAUCUUCCGAUAUUAGACAGUUCACUUUGUGGCAACAAAACAUCUGAUAGAGUUAGCUUUGUUAGUGUCGCGGGCAAGGUGAAAUUCAAAAUCAUACCGUUUACACUGAGUGUUUCAAGUUGAAGAGCAUUUAAUUUGAGUUUGAGAGGCUCUUUACAGUGGCAUUUGAGUUUUCGCAGUCUGCUUUCUGUUUUAUUUAAGAAAUACUCCCUCCGUCCCAUUUUAUAUGAUGUACUUUGAUACCGUUUACACUGAGUGUUUCAAGUUGAAGAGCAUUUAAUUUGAGUUUGAGAGGCUCUUUACAGUGGCAUUUGAGUUUUCGCAGUCUGCUUUUCUGUUUUAUUUAAGAAAUACUCCCUCCGUCCCAUUUUAUAUGAUGUACUUUGAUUUGGCACAAACUUUAAGAAAAAUGGAAAGACUUUUAAAACUUGUGGUCCAAAAUGAAUGAUAGAAAUUUGUGUGGUUGUAAAUCAUUUCAUUAAGGGUAAAAAAGACAUUUUAUAGGCAAAUUGUUACUUAAAAUAGAAAUGUGUCAUUCUUUUUGGGACUGACUAAAAAGGAAAGUAAGUCAUAUAAAUUGGGACAGAGGGAGUAUUAUUUAAGACUGGUUUAAGAGUCGCCACUUAAUUUUUAAGAAAAAUCAAGAAAAACUGAUUUUCAAUAGAUUAAAACAGUGAAUCAAUUGAAAAUACUAAAGGGGGUUCGGGGGUUCUUAUAAAUAUUCUAGGAAGGUUUUUAAGGCACCUAGAAUAUCCACUAAUGUGGUUAUCCGACGAUUAACUACUUGGCUAAAAUAAUUGAACUUAAUUUGAUUUGAGCAAUUUUUAUUGUUAGAACCAUAUUAAAGGGAAAUACUUAAAUAUUAUCUAAGUGAGCUAAUUUUUAAAACUUAUUCUUUAAGUCUUGUUGAGUGAUGACUGAUUCAGUUAAAUUGUUAAAUCAAAAUAGGCGUCUUUCGGGGAUUUGAAUUUUUCAACCUUAAGGUUAGCGACAAAUAUUAACAAGCACACAAAUAUAAUAAAAUAAAGAGGGAAAGAGAUUUGGGCCCAAGUUUGGUUUUACUGUCCGCCUGGACCAAUACUUGGGCCCACUUUCGUUUUGGGGUUUUCGGCCCAUUUAAAUAAUCGGUACCUGUCCUAGUCUAACAAGAUAAUAACAAGGGCUUAGGCCCCCAAAAUAACAAAAAUACAAUUCCCGAAACUAAGAGUGGGCCUUUGGGUCCAUUUUCCUUCUUUCGUAUACACUAGAUGUCUACUAGUGUACACAAUCCCAUAUGUCUGCUUCGAAGACCUGUACGCUGAAUUCAUGGAAUUGCUCUUCAAUUCUAUUGGCUGGCCGACUCAAUGAAGGAUUUGAGCAUUUAUGGCUCUCUCGAAGUGAGGGGGAAGGAGAUAGGAGUUCAUAGUGAACUCGGACAUAUUUCACAAGCAAAACGAUAAAUAAGUAACAAAAUUAGCAUCUUCGGGAAGGAAAUGAAGUGAUAAGAUAAAAUAAAUAGAUAAGUAAAAUAACAUGCCAGUCAAUCAUUAACAACACAACGCCUAAACAAUAAUUUAAAAGGAAGACUGAUGAAGACUUGUUCAUUUUUACGUAUCAUGAAUGAGGAGCAGUGAUCAAGUACCAAGCAUUAGAACAAAGGUCAUAUGAGAUGUAAACUAAUAAGCUCUUAAUAAAGAUUAUUACUUAUUACAAGAUUAAAAUAACUACUAUGCAGGUUCAAAACAGAGAAGAAAGAAAUUUUAAUUAUAUAUAUAAUAUAAAAGAGAUAGUGAGCAAAUGUGGCAUCUACUAAAUGUGACUAUUGAAUGUUUAUCUCAAAGCACAAGAAUUGUUAGCUAAGCAAGCCUACAAUCAGUAGUUUAAGUAAAAGGAAAGAAACAUUCAAGUCACCUUUUGAACUUUUAAAAACAAUAUUAUAAACAAGUUAAGGUAGGUAGGAUUUAGUCAAAAUAUUAUUUUUUACAUAAGUGAGCUUUCUAAACAAAUAUAACAAUAAAAAAAAAAUUAGUCAAUGACUCAAAUUUUGCACAAGGGUAUAGCCUAAUACCGACAUUAUUUGGACAACUUUCUUAUUACUGAUUCUAACAUUUACGACACCGAAUUAAGCUAUGUAGAGAAGAAAAAAGGCCGGUGAUCACCAAAGCAAGUAAAAAUAUAUAGCAUCCUUAGCAACUGUUGAGACAUGCUGAAAUUAAAGAAGAAUAAAAGCCAAAAGUAUGGAUGUACAUUCACAGUUUUAUGUAUUCCCAAACUUAUCGAAAUUUGUUAAAAAUAUACAUGAGGCUCACGGAGAUAUCAAAUAGCAAAGUGGGCUGAUCCAUUUAUCCUAAAUGAGUAAACAUACAAAAUGAAUGAACAAAUACGGACUAUGACAUAUUUUACGCAUCCCGUAACCAAGAAAAAGUAGCACGAACUUACUUAAGGCAUGUCAAACUAAUCAAGAUCAAAAUUGUAUACCAUUUGGAACCAAACAACAAAAACAAUUCCCAUAAUUCUGGAAAAAUAAAAAAAAACACAUUCAAACUAGACCUGGACAACAUCUAAAUAAUUAGAGACAAAAUCAGAUAAACAAAAAUGAAAGAAUUAAUCAUACCACAAGACAACCAUAACAAAGUUUAAGCUAUACUAAUCCGGACAAGACUAUUGAUCUAAACUCAAAAAUAAGUGCAGGAAGAGCUAGAUCCUACAAGACUGGUCUAAUGUAAUUUAUGAGGGUCUAUAACAGUGAAUAAAAAAUAAAGAGAAGACAACCAAGACCACAAAUGACCAAUAGAGAAGCAGAACGAGUCAAAAAUUAAGCUACAAAGGGAAUAAUUUAAAGACUCAUAUUUAAACUAACACAUGCUUCCAUACAUGAGUAAUUUAAUCAAAAUAAGUUAGAACAAAAUGAAACCAAAGAAACUCCGCAGCAACAAGUUUAUCACACAACAUUUAAAACAUAAACAAAGCGCGGAAGAGGGAAGAGAUAUUACCUUUUCCGGGCAGCGAAACUGAGACAAGAACGAGCUUGGAGCGACUUCAACACAACCUUGAACUCGAGCACCAGACCAAAGAAAAGAUCGAGUCGACCUCGAACGAGAACUUCUCGUAUCCUUAAGACUAGGGAACCGUCUAAGACUUCUCAAGUGUAAAUUUAUUCCAAGAAAUCCAACCCCCAAAUCCCUUCCUUUUUUUUUUUUUUUAACAUAUGAAAAAAGAGCCACCUUUAUAGGUAAAAACUCCAGCAGAAAAUGGGGGGAAACGGAUGAAAAAAACGGGCAGAGAUCCCCCAUCCCCAAUUCAAACUUCAAAAUUUAUUCACAAACUUAGAGAGACAACAUUUUUUCAAAAUUUCGCCCCAUUCCCAAAGAGGAAAAAGGGAGAAACGCGUGCUGCUGCGACAUUAAUGUGGAUAGGGACGUCUGAAGAAGAAGCCAAAUCUGUAGUGUACGUCUCUCUGCUCCUCGCUACUUUUCGUCUGAUCGCUCUGUAUUUUUUGUUAUGAACGUUGGGGCUGCUGGGUUUGUAUUGUGAAGGAAAAGGGGAGGUGGGCCGGGUUAAAGGGGGGAAUUGUGGGUUGAGGCGGUAGGGUGAGAAAUAAAAGAAAGGAAAAGGGAAUUGGGGAAAUUACGGUCGGUCAGGUAUUGUUGUUGUUGUCAAGUUGUAUUGUAUGUAGUGUUACAUGUGGGUGGGUUUUGGUAUUAAAUUUGGGCUGGGAAUUAUGGAAUUGCUGAUGGGUUUAAAGAAGGGAUGGAUUGUUGGUAUUAUAUUCUGGGAAUGGGUAUUUGGAAUCAGAUAAAUACAAUGGGUUAUGGGAGUUGGCAAAAUGGCCUGAUUUGGUCUAAAAGAAAAGAGUUCUAUCGGAUUUAACAAUUAGCCAACUUUGAUAAACUAGUGAAUUCGACUAAAAAUUAAAUAAGACGAAUUAAUAUAAUUAACUAACGAGCUUCUUAAUCUUAACGAAAUAAAAUAAUCAACUUAAUUAUUAGUCAAUUUGAAUAACUCAAAAUUAUGACUAUAAAUACUACCAAACUAUAUUAAUAAAAUAUUCAUUUUAACAAAGUAGAAAUCUUUUGAAUAUGAUUUUUAAAUAUUAUAAAAUGUACUAAUCAUAUAUGUAAUUAUAUGAAAUAUAUUUAUCAUUCAAAAUGCUAUAAAAGUCGAUUGAAAUUAUUCAACUAACCUUGAAAUUAUUUAAAUUUUGUAAAGCUAAUUAUUCUAAAUCAUUUAGAAUUUAAGAAGCUCGAUGAUUAAUUUAUAUUGUGGAGGUCCAAAAAUUGGGUGUCAACACUUGCCUUCUUGACCAUGUAGUCUACUAGCUCAUUAGUGAGAGACACUGUGGCCAAGGUCUCGAUGCAACAUAUGUUUGUCGAUGUCUGAGGAAUGCGUCCAUCAAAAGAUGCAACAGGUUCAACAUGUACAUGCUUUAGCCUUGGCAUAUUCCAGAUGGUCAUCGGUAAAAUUGUGCCACUGCCUACUGUUAUUACAAGCAAUACCUCUAGGUUUGAAAGGUUCGAUAUCCAUAAUGGCAUAGAUACCAUAUAGCCUUUGAUUCCUAAGUACUUCAAAUGGAUCAGCUCUUUUGAUCUCUGGAAUGAACUCUCCGACAUAGUACAUUCCAUUUGUAGUACUCUUAAUAGUUUAAAGUUCUCAAGAUCAAGAAAUUCCUGGCAGCCAGAUUUCGGGGGUCUGAAGAAUGCAGAUCGAACUUGCAUGUUUCCAAUCUUCCCUGCCCAAUAAAGGCUAUGAUGAAUGCAAAGCCUCCGGUGCUCAUAAAAGGAACUAGACAAAUCAGUCUUCCCGGUGCUUGUUAGUUGCAUAAACUUCUCUUCCUUAGACUUUGUCACGCAAAAAUCAUGUAACAUAUCAUGAAUGCGGCAUGUUCUGACUCCUCCAGUGGACUUUCUCUUGCUCACCAUUAUCAAGCUUCUACCGAUGAGAUCAUUCAGUAAAAUUUUUGCAUCGAGCCCUAUGUUUGGCACCAAUCCCUCGAUAGUCCAUAACCAUGCCAAGUUUGAGAGUGGAAUUUCUUCAUCCUCCUGAAAUGAUGCAAAAUAUAGAAAGCAGGGUUUGAGAUGAUCUGGCAUGUGCUUGUAGCUCAGUUCUAUAACCUCCAUGCACUCUUUUGCACUAGUAACAGUAUCUAACUUUAUACUUUCUGCGAUUCUUCUCCAACUUUCCUCAUUUUCGCUUAUCCCAGACAAAACUCCAGCAACCAAAAUCACAAGGAGAGGUAGUCCUUUACACUUACUUGCGAUGUUUGCUCCUACUUUUGAUAGGUCAG
rnacentral:lncRNA from 1 species